rnacentral:lncRNA from 1 species
GUCCAGGGACUCCGUUGAGCAUGCAUGACGACGAUGCCGUAGAUAGCAGCAGUGCGAUCCAGUCACGCCAUCUUGGUGGGAAGCCCAUCCGCUCCAUCAGCUCGAACAUGUACUCCCAAGAGAUUGAAUUGAAGGCCUUUGCUAUGUCCAGUUUGAAAAACAGAGCCUUCUUGUUCAUGCGGUGCAGCAUCCUUACUGAACUUUGAACGUAUUGGAAGCUGUCAUGGAUGCACUUUCCUUUUUGAGGUGCUGUCUGUGCCGGGGAGAUGAUUGCACUGAGGGCCCUGGACAGCCUAGUCGAGAGCACCUUUGAGAUUAGUAUUGCGAUUGAGUGUAUGAGGCUGAUCGGCCGGAAAUGUCCCACUUCAGAAGCACCGUUUUUCUUGGACAGGAGCACAAUGAGGGCAGUGUUGAGGCUUGCAAGGUUUUGCCCUGAGAGGUGAUAGAAUUUUUUAAAAACAGCCAUGAUGUCCUCUUUGAUUAUGUGCCAACAAGAUCUGAAAAAAUGGCCAUUGAAACCGUCCGGACCCGGGGCUUUAUCCGCUGGGGAGUCGACUAUCGCUGCCCAAACUUCUGCGUGCGAGAAGGGAGCGUCCAAACCCUGCGGCUCGAUCCUUGGGACGUUUAUCCUGUCCCAGUUUAGGGUUGCUUGGCGUGAUUCCUGUUUGCCCAGACUGCUUUGGAAGUGAUCAUGAAUCAUUUUUUCUUUUUCCUCAUGUUCGUAAGCCACUGUGUUGCCGCUUGCAAGAGAAUGAAUGUAGUUUUUUUCUGCUUCUUGCUCUCAUUUUAGCGUGGAAAAACUUAGUGCUCGCAUCACCAACCCGCAGCCAUGUGAUCCUUGAAGCUUGCCUCCUCCGUGCUCUCUCAAUGGCUGCCAACCCUAGGACCUUGAGCUUCAGCUGCUUUCUGAGGUUGAUCUCGACUGCCGACAGUCUUCUGCUCUCCUGGGCUAGAUCAAGAAAACGGAUGACUUCAUUUGCUAUGUGAAACUGCAUGGUUGCCCUCCCAAAAGUGGUUUUGCUCCAUAUCUUCAGGUCCGCUGCCGUCCUCUCAAGCUUCUUCUUCACCCUGACAAAAGGGCAGUCAUGGUGCACUGGCUGUUGCCACGCUCGCAGAACAAUUUCUGUGAAGCGGGGGAAGCGCGGCCAGAAACUCUCAAACCUGAAACGUGCCUGUCUGCAUGGCUUGCUUGUGGCUGUCAGGUACAGCGGGCAAUGAUCCGAAAAAGAUGUAGAGGCAGGCACUAGGAUGUGAUCAGGGUGCAGUACUUCCCAGUGCUCGUUGCAGAACACUUUGUCGAUGCUGCAAAGCGUUGGCACUUCUCUUUCGUUGCUCCAAGUGAAACGUCGGUUUUUGCAUUUUAUCUCCCUCAGUCCAGCUUGAUCAAUGGCCCUCCUGAACUUUCAAUCAUUCUUCUAUUUAUAUUGGCAUUGUUCUUGUCAGCAGCUUGGUAGAUCAUGUUAAAAUCGCCAUUGAUCAUCCAUGGCUCUGCCGUAGAUGGAGCUGUCGCAGCGAUUUCAGCCAGGAAGCUAUCUUUCUGGGCGUCAUCUGUUGGCCCGUACACCGUGGUGAUCCAGAAGUGCAGCCCAGAGUGGAGCUCAAGAACCCUAGCCGUAAUGGAGAACCUUCCUAUGCUAUGAGAAACUACGUCGACUACCGUUUUGUCCUAGAAAAUGGCCACACCCCCUCUAGUACCUACAGCUGGGAGGACGACGCAACCUUGCAGCGAGGAGCCACCGAUCUCCCUGGCCAUCGCCGUCGACCACACCUCUAUCUUGGUCUCCUGCAAACACAACAUUGCUAAUCUAUGCGCGGUGGCCACGCUGUUGAUCGCAGUACACUUCGCAGGGCAGUUUAGUCCCCUAACAUUCCAUGACAUGAAGUUCAUGGUAUUGUCAUUCAUCUAAAAACCAGUUGUUGCUCCGCCAGCUGAAAAAACUACUAAUGCAAGGACGAAACACCAUCACAUACAGCCUGGGGCGGCGACGACCACCCGUAGGCCCAAAACCCCGUCGCCACGUAGCUAACCACAUCAUCGAGGAACUAAACAUUGGCACUAAACCUAGCUCAAGCCGGUUGAAGACCAGCCGCUGGCGGAUCCUAGCUACAUCUGAUAAUGCUAACAUUACUACACUUGCAGAAUCUCCUCAGCAUCUGCCAGACCUGCCAUGCCCGCCGCGAUCUUGAGAGCGCCUUGAUCGAGGCCGGUGAGCUUUGCAAUGGCAGCGAUGUUGCCCUCCAACAGUGGCUCUUGGAAGCGCUUCGUGAUCUGGGCGGCCGCUUUUGGUGUCAUCUUGUCCUUUGGGCCGAGCUCGCCAAGCUCCUGGAUGAGGCGCAGCACCGCCCUCUGGGCCACUAGGGUGGUGAUGCCUGCCGCAGCCUGACGUGCGCUCCGGCGAGAGGGGGCCGAGAGAGCCCUGGACUUUGGCGGAGCAGGGUGGCGAGGGCGUGGAGGCUGGCGCGGAAGAAUGGGUGCGGGCACCGCCUCGAACAGCUGAGCCGCCUGCUCAUUGCGGCUGUCGAUCACCAUCUCGCCCACCUGCUGGGUCACCGCAUCCAGCUGGAAGCCCACCGUGGCUGCUGCAGGGGAGCUGACGCAGGGCAGCAAGCACGGCAGCAUCGCUGGGCUCUCGAGCUCCCCUGGCUUGACACUCAGGCGGGAUGGAGGGGAGUGACCACCGUCUUCGAAAGCAAGCGGGGUGCGCAGGGCUUCGAUCAUCGUGUUCUCCAUCUCCAACUGCAUGCAGUCCGUGCGCGGGGGCGGCGAGAGGGCGCGCCCCGAGUCGGAGAAGGAGAAGAAUUAAGCGACCAGGUCCGCUUCAGCCGGCGCGGCCUGCACCGAUCGAAGCGGCUUGGGCGGCAUGGCACGCAGAGUGUUGGUGUUGGAGCUCGAACCCUCCUCCUUGCGGCCCACGGAGCGGCGGCUUCCGAUUGGGGUGCGGCUGCGCUGGCGAUGCACGUUGUUGACGACGCCAUCGCCGCCGCUCCUGGCGUGGCAGCCAUGCCCGAGCAGCCGAUCCCUCCAGGACCGACUCGAACCUCCGCUCCCACCAUCACCAUUGCGGUCUCGAUCGGAGCCGCCCAGGAUCGGGCCGCAGCCAGCCGGGCCGGCACGCGGCGCGAAGCUGCGCGCCCGGCCCUGGCCAUCCUCCACAUGGGCGACCCAGGUGCCGGCUCAACACGGGGGAGUGGGCGGUCGUCGCUGUCAUCCGAAGAAGGCAGGCCACUCUGCCCCGAGUGGGAGGAGCGCGGUGAAAGGGGCGACCAGUCCUCGAGCAGGUCGACGUGGAUCAGCAUGUCGUAGCGGCGUGCUCCAGGCGGAGGAGGAACACGGCGGUCGUCGGGGGCGAUGCCGAUGAUCUCAUCUGAGCGGCCGGCGCCGCGCUUGAGCACCCAGAGGGCGCGCUUGGUUGGGAUGUGGGCAACAUCCCAGACCCAGAGCCAGCACGCAAAGGUUUUGGUGUGCCCCCUCUCGAGAGUGCGCGAGUCCAGCCGGUCGACGCGGCCGAUGUCGCCGAGGGCCUCCUCGGCACCCGGCAGGUUCCAGAAUUGCAUCGGUGGGUCUUCUAUCACCACGCGCACGUGAUGGUUGAACUUGAGGAUUGCGACGUGGUCGUCUUCAUUCCACGCUCUAAUGAAGUACUUGCAGCCGUCGACCUUGAUGACGGCGCGCCGCACGGCAUUGUCCCGGUGCGCGGGGAGGUCGAAGUGGACGAGGAAGGCUUCGAGCUGGUGCGCCGUGACGCGCAGCUGAUGCGGGCCGGUGGAGAGCUGCUCGAAGAUCACCCUACCGACGGCCGCUGGGGUGGUGGAGUGCGAGCGGUCGGCAGCGGUGAGGGUGACGACGUGCUGGCGCAGAACGUGCUCCUCGAGCUCCAGCGCCGGUGUGGCCACGAUCACCCGGUGGCUCUCACGCGGCCGCCUGGCCGGAUCGCACAUGAGCAGGCGGUUCAUGUCGGGGUGGGAGGGUGCUGCCGGAAAGACGAGGCGGUCUUGGACCGGGGCGCGCGCGGCAGCUGGCAGCUUCAGGCGAUCUCGAGCAGGACCCCCGGGCCCUCCAUUCCGAGGGUUCUACGGGCACUCCUUGCCGUAAUGCCCAACGCGCUUGUAGAUGAUGUAGCGGAGGGGAUCACGACAAUCUACCCGGCGGUGGAGCUCACUGAGGCAGCGGAAGCAUUUGCCUUUGAAACGGCUUAAGAAGGCCUCCCUGCCUUCGCCCGUAUUGGAUGAGCCGCGGCGGUCCGAGCGCUGCCGCAGAGGGUGCUUCCUUUGAUCCGACGAGCGUGAGCGGGGCCUCCCUUUCUUCCGGGAGCGGACCUCCGUCCAUCCAUCGCCCGUCGCGCCUGCCUGUNNNNNNNNNNNNNNNNNNNNNNNNNNNNNNNNNNNNNNNNNNNNNNNNNNNNNNNNNNNNNNNNNNNNNNNNNNNNNNNNNNNNNNNNNNNNNNNNNNNNNNNNNNNNNNNNNNNNNNNNNNNNNNNNNNNNNNNNNNNNNNNNNNNNNNNNNNNNNNNNNNNNNNNNNNNNNNNNNNNNNNNNNNNNNNNNNNNNNNNNNNNNNNNNNNNNNNNNNNNNNNNNNNNNNNNNNNNNNNNNNNNNNNNNNNNNNNNNNNNNNNNNNNNNNNNNNNNNNNNNNNNNNNNNNNNNNNNNNNNNNNNNNNNNNNNNNNNNNNNNNNNNNNNNNNNNNNNNNNNNNNNNNNNNNNNNNNNNNNNCAGUGACACACCUGCCCUGGGGCGGCCGUCCCGGUGCAGGAUUCGCGGCGUCGAGGCCGAAUCUGACGCAGCAGUCGUCGAGGCCGCGGACCACGGGGAGGGGGGGGGUCGAGGGUCCGACGGUCCGAGGCGCGCCCCCACUGGGCUGCGGGGAGCACCGGCCAAGGCGAGCAGGGUUUCCGGCGGAGGAGCUGGCGGCCAUAAUGGCCGGAUCUGGUGGCCGCCGCGGCCAGAGCGGCGCGCGGCGUAGGGGAGAGGAGGGGAGAGUGUGGGAAGAUGGAGCGGCAGUUUCCCUACGCCAGAACUUAAGGACACCCGUUAUCAUGUAAACCACUUAGUAACUCUAUCAGUUUUCAUAUCUGUGGCCUCUGACAUAUGAAAUAUAGAGGCUGCGAAGACAAAAGGAAAACUCACAUUACAUGUGUGUUCCACCUGCCAUUGACUACAACGGUUCUUUUUGUCAACAAACUAAUUCAGAACAUGUUUAAUUCAGACUUCAGUUUGAACACAAACAGAAGGAUUUUUCACUGCAGACCAUUUGUAUCAAAUUGUGAAUAGAAACACAUCGUUGUAGGUCCGUCCUUUUGAAAGCAAAGCGCAACCAAACAAUUGUCAUUUCUUAUCUGACUUUUCACCUCCCAAUACACCCAUAAUACCACCCCAUGCCAAAUUUCACUCUUUUGGAACAAAUUUAGGUUUGAUUCAUCUUUUAUGAAAAAUGUAAAAAUGCAAUUGGUGCCUAAAUACAAGAAAUUAGAUAUAAGAAUUGAUUAAAAAAUUUAAAAGCUUCUCUAGUACUAGGUUGCUUUAAUCGUGACAACAAAUAUAGACAACCUUUCUAUACCGUCAAGCAUGUCGUCUCACCGUGCUCUGAUCAUGUGGCGCUGGCCCUCCAGGGCGCCCCAGACGUGGGUCAGCGAGGACCAAAAAUAAGACAGUACGAGGUGUUUUGGGAACGGGAUGUGGAACUGCCAGAAGUGAUUAAGGAAGCUUGGAAUUCGGUUGGAAGUGUAGAUAAUCUGGACAAGCUACAAACUGCCUUAAGGAAGACUCUGGCAACUCUCAACUCUUGGGGCAAUAAGAAAUUUGGAAACAUAUCUAGGGAGUUGGCCAAGUCACGUACUCAAUUGGAGGAGCUUAUGAGCAUGAACGCUGACAGACAAGAUAUAAGGAACGUUACUGAUAAGAUGAAUGAAUUGAUAUAUCAGGAGGAGAUGAUGUGGUUGCAAUGAUCCAUAAUCACAUGGCUAAAGGAAGGGGAUCGUACCACCAAAUACUUUCAAAGUAAAGCUGUUUGGCGAGCACGUAAAAAUAAAAUACGUGCGCUAACUGAUAUUAUUGGAGUGGUUCACUCAAAUUUUGAGGAGAUGGCCGCCUUGGCGAAUGAUUAUUUUCAGGAAAUUUUUUCAGCUGAUCUGUCGCUGGAUGCUUCAUGGGUGAUUGAUCUCUUAGAACCAAAGGUGUCAGCCCAGGACAAUGUGCGCCUUUGUGCCCCUUUUGAUGAUAAGGAAAUAUCUGAUGCUUUUUUUCAGAUUGGGCCAUUAAAGGCCCCAGGGCCUGACGGUCUACCGGCGAGGUUUUUUCAGCGUAACUGGGAUGUGUUAAAAACCAGUGUCAUAGCAGCGGUGAAGGAAUUUUUUGUCACCGGAAUUAUGCCGGAAGGAGUAAAUUCUACUUCUAUUGUUCUUAUUCCAAAAAUUCCUAACCCUACUAGUUUGUCUCAUUACAGACCUAUCAGCCUAUGUAAUGUUAUAUACAAGGUCAUAUCCAAGUGCUUGGUGAACCGUAUGAGGCCUUUACUUGACGAUAUCAUCUCUCCGGAGCAAAGUGCCUUCAUUCCAGGGCGUAUGAUUACAGACAAUGCUCUUGUGGCCUUCGAGUGUAUUCACCAUAUUAAGCAAGAUAAGGAUCCAACAAAAAGUUUCUGUGCCUACAAGUUGGACCUCUCAAAAGCUUACGAUAGGGUGGAUUGGAAGUUCUUGAAGCAAGUGAUGCAAAAGCUGGGUUUCUCUCAACGAUGGGUGGACUGGAUAAUGUCUUGUGUCACAUCGGUGAAUUAUUCUUUCAAACUUAAUGGGACCCUCUUAGAUUCAUUUGCACUAUCGUGUGGUCUUCGGCAAGGCGAUCCUCUAUCCCCCUUCUUGUUCCUUUUCAUGGCAGAUGGUCUGUCCGCUAUUCUGAAGCAUUAUGUGUCUUCUGGUGAUAUAUCUCCGAUCAAGGUGUGUAGAAGAGCACCGGGUAUCUCACAUCUUUUAUUUGCCGAUGACACCAUGCUUUUCUUUUAGGCAAGCAGAGCCCAGGCUGAGAAAGUUAAAUUGGCUUUGGAUCAAUACGGGGUAACAACGGGACAAUCUCUUAAUUUUGAUAAGUGUUCCAUCCUCUUUGGUAUUGCAUGCCCCGAAGAUAUUCAGGAGGAAGUCAGGGGGGUGUUGCAUGUUACUAGCUUAGUGUUUGAGGAGAAGUACCUUGGCCUUCCAACUCCAGAGGGUCGCAUGUCGAAAGGGAGAUUCCAAAACCUUCAGAUGAGUUUAACCAAGCGUUUGGUCCAAUGGGGAGACGGUCACCUUGCCCAACCGGUGAGGGAGACUCUUAUUAAAUAUGUUGCGCUUGCUCUUCCUACAUAUAUGAUGGGUGUUUUCAAGAUUCCAUUCUCAGUGUGUGAUGAAUUAACACGGAUGGUACGUGCCUUUUAUUCGGGUGCUGAAAAAGGCAAGAGGAAAGUACACUGGCGUGCAUGGGAGGAUUUACAACAACCAAAGAGUAAAGGAGGUGCCGGGUUUAGAGAUUACAGAAUAUUUAAUCAAGCCUUAUUAGCACGACAAGCUUGGAGAUUGAUUUCAAAACCUGAUAGCCUGUGUGCACAAGUGCUCAAAGCCAGGUACUAUCCGGAUGGAAACAUAGAUGAUACUGUCUUCUCCGGCAAUGCAUCUUCUUCAUGGCAAGCAAUCAGCUAUGGCCUUGAUCUGUUAAAAAAGAGCUUAAUCUGGAGAGUGGGGAACGGCAGAAGUAUUCGUGUGUGGCGCGAUAAUUGGAUCCCAAGACCCUUCUCCUAUAAACCCAUCACCUUACAAGGAAGAUGCAGAAUCCGCUUCGUGUCUAAUCUACUUAAUGAUAAUGGCUCAUGGAAUGUUGGGCUGUUGCAGGAGUAUUUCCUCCCGGCUGAUGUAAAUGAGAUACUGAAAAUAAGGGCGUCUCCUAGGCAUGAGGACGACACCUUGGCUUGGGGGCCGGGCAAGUUUAGCGUUUUUUCGGUCAAGAGUGCAUACCAAUUGGGUUUUGAAGAGGCUCACAGGAGUUCGGCAACGGGCUCUAGCUCGCGACCUAACGGCCGGCGCUCUUGUUGGAAGCUCAUAUGGUCUUCGGAUGUUCCUCCUACGGUCCAGAAUUUUGCGUGGCGGGUUGCUACAAACUCGCUGCCGACAUGGUGCAACAAGUACAGGCGUGGACUUGAAACAAGUAACCUUUGUCCGGUAUGUGCUAGUGAACCAGAGGACUGCUACCAUGCUCUCUGUCGCUGCUCCUUUGCGAGGAUCUUAUGGGAUGCAAUGUCUGAAGUUUGGCCUCUCCCAUGUUUAUCUACCCUGCAAAAUAACGGGGAUGAGUGGCUGUUGCAUGCACUUGAACCGCUACAGGAGAUUGAGAGAUCUAUGUUAUUGCUAUCCAUGUGGAGGGUAUGGCAUAUACGCAAUGAGGUUGUACACCAUAAACCAGCCCCGCCUAUGGAAGCGUCGAAAAGAUUCUUGGUAAGCUAUUUGGACUCUCUGAUUGGUAUUAAAAUUGAUCUCUCUACUGAUCCACGCAAAGGCAAGUCUACCAUCACAUAUGAAAGACGGAGUCCGCAUAUGAUAAUGGAAAAAAGGUUACCAAGUGGUCAGCACCAAAGUCCGAUGGGUGAAGCUUAAUACUGAUGGGUCUUUUGCGGACGACGGAACAGCUGGCGCUGGAAUGGUCCUAUGCGAUGAUAAGGGAGCGAUAAUUUUUUCCUCUUGCAGGCAAUUGUUCUCUUGCCGUGAGGCACUGGAAGCUAAGUUAUGUGCCUGUAUGGAAGGUUUGUCCUUUGCCAUCCAGAGAAGUGAGAUACCGGUGAUCGUGGAAAUGGACUCACUUGUGGCAGUGAAGAUGAUCCAAGCUUCGGAGGUUGACCAAUCCAUUUACUCGUCCAUCAUAAAGGAGAUUAAAUAUCUUAUGUCUCUUCGUGAAGUUUGUAUUACUCAUGUAAAUCGUAGCCAGAAUAAGGUUAGUGAUAGCCUAGCUAAUUUUGCUCGUAUUGAGGGUAGAACCAUGACUUGGUUGGGCUCUGGACCUCACAUAUCCAUAGAGUUGGCUGCGAUGGACUGUACAAGCGUAGAGAUUGAGUAAUACAAGUUUUUUUCAUCCGCAAAAAAAAUAUAGACAAUGUUGGACUGCCAUUCUUAGAAGCUGCUUCAAAAGGUCCUAGUUAUGAACUGUUUGAAGAGUGCACCAAGAGAAAUCACGACACUAUGAGAUUAUUAUUCUUACCAUCAAGGAUAUAAUACAUGAUACACUAGUGCAGAAAAACCUACCUAGUUGUGACGUGUCAAAAAGCAUCAUGUUGGCGUGUCGACCCGACGCCCCUAAUAUGGUGCCACUGAUAAAAAUUGUUGGUGGCGUGUGGAUCUCCACGUCACCACUAACAUAUACUGGUGGCAUGGGUUCGACAUGCCACAACUGAAUUUUCACAGCACACCACCAAUAUAGAUUCUAGGCGGAAAAAAAAUUGAUGUUCCCUUCCGUCAACAACACAUAACGACAAUUUACGUAACAACAUAACUGAAUUAAGCAUAGUAGAUUAACAACUUAGAAUAGAUUCAACAAGUUAAAUAGGUAAUCAAUUGAGCACAUAAAAGUUUUGCAACUAAUUACAAAAUAUAAGUUCUCGAUCAACGACAACUCAACAUAAAACCGUCAGCUGGUCAAUCUCCUUCUUCAAUUGAUCCCUCUCAUCGAUCAGUUGAGCCGUCAAUUAGGUGAUCUCUCUCCAUCCUGCAGCUCAUCCCUCACCACCUUCAGCUUUGUGAUGAUAAUUUUUGAGAGGCCAGAAGCAACUUGUUGAGCAUGUCCACGUCAUAUUUUUUUCUUCAGCUUGCACAUACCCCCCACCCCCAGGGUCUGAAUCCUAUGUAGCCCAAAGAAUGUAAAGAUGUAAAGAUGAAAUGUUUGGAAUCAAAUUAUCAUAAAAAAUGAUUUAGUUGUACACCUAUGAAAAUAAUAAACAUAUAAAACAAGAACAAGAUUAUAAAAAGGGAAAUGAUGGCCAUCAUAACCUACAAAAGAAUGAGGUUACAUUAUAUACAAUGAGUGAGGCUUAACCUGCAAAAAUUGGCCUAACAAUCUACCAUGGAUUACUUCCAAUGUAUCAUCUUCAACAAUGUUCUCAUGGCAUCAUAAGACUACUAUUUAUAAAGAAGAAAUUGGCAUCAUUACUCCAUGGCAUUACAUGGUUGUUUGAGUUCAAAAGUUGUACAUGUUGUAUUUUUGUCUUCUUUUUUUCUUAUUGGCUCAACAUUACAACUAAAUUAAAAUCAAACCAAGCACUAAUCAGUACAAAUUGACAAACCAAGUGGAGAACUUGCUCGGUUGUUGCUUAUCUCUAGCUAUAUAUUCCCAUGCCAUCAAAUUAAAAGACUACUAUUAUGAAACUUACUCGGUUGCUACUCAUGUCGGUGUCGACGACCCUCAUUUUGGCGUCGUCGUUGCCGUUGCCGAAGCUGCCAAUUGGCACGGAUGAACUCAUGGUGGCGGCGGUCGCGGUGGUGGCGCCGACGUUCGUGCGCAGAGAGGAGGGUGACGAAGAAGAGGGGUGGAGAUGGAGGCGGCUGCAAUGGUGAGGAGGGAUGGGGCACACUAGUGCAGAAUCGGGCUUUAGCACCGGUUCGUAAGGGGGACUAAAGGCCCCUCCCCCUUUAGUACCGGUUCGGCACGAACCGGCGCUAAAGUGCCACCACGUGGCAUGAGACAGGCCCGGGUGCGGGUAAACCAUUAGUACCGGUUGGUAACACCAACCGGUACUAAAUGUUUCGGGGGGGGGGGGUUAUUUUUUAUUUUUCCUUUAAUUUUGUGUUUUCAAUUUAAUUUUAGUGAUUGUUUUACAUUAUAAUGAGUUGUUAAAUCAUUAGGUGAAAGUACCACAGAUUAGUUUCGACUGGAUGCAUGUGGAUCCUAGCUAAGUGAUCAAGUAUAUGCCAUAUCCAUAUUACUUGAUCACUUAAUUAGGUGGUCAAGGUAAUAUGGAUAUGGCAUAUACUUGAUCGCUUAGCUAGGAUCUAUCCAGUUGAAACUAAUCUGCGGUUUCUUUCAUAAAUGAUAUAAUAACUCAUCAUCAUCAUCAUCAUCAUAUUAAUAUAAAAACUCUUGCAUCAUAUAUAUCAUCACCAACAACAGUAUACUAGUUAGCUAAAAAUCAUCAUAGUCGUCAUUACCACUAUUUAAUCAUCAUAGUCAUUACCGCUAUCUAAUCACCACCAACACUAGCUUAAAGAAGAAACAUUCACUUGUACCAGAAGCAAAGAUAUCAUCGAGAUAAACAUGGUCAUGAUAUUAUAAGCGUUCAUAACGCCACAAAAGCAAAUCACUCUUUGAGAUUAAUUAAGUUCAGGACAAAGAACACAGACAUGAGAGGACAAGUACUAAUUAAGAGCAUGAAAUAGCUAAUAAUCAUUUCUGCUGCUCUCUCUCAGGUAAAAUAGCAUAGAACAUGUAUAGCUCUCCUGAUUCAUCAUAUUGGAGCAUGCACAUGAACCUGUCUCCUAAUCUUGGACUGCGCUUCUGUUUGCUGCCCCCUAGUACUUCUCUGCGAUCGUUAACAAUUUUACUCCAAUCUUUCACUAUUAAGAAUUCCUCGCUAUUAGAAAUCCUGAAUGCACUCAUGUGCAUUGUAGUAUAUCUUGGCAGUAAGCUAACCAUUGACAUGCGACCUUUAGUACCGAUCCACUGAGGCACAACUGUCAUCGGGAGUCCCCGUUUAAGAACAUUGUAUAGUAACAUUACUUAGUAAUGAAGUUUAACUUGAAAAAUAAUGUAUGCAAAAGAUGCACUAAGGACAAAUAGUAAAAAUCUUAUCAUCUUUCCUAAAUAGAUGUGAUUGUAGUUCAAUACGAUCACUAUUGGUCGCACAUUUUGAGUACUAAGAUUUUCAAAUUCAAGAAAAUAAUUUCUCUUGACAGCAUCAAGAUCCUCAAGCCAUGAAACAUAAUGACUUAUCUCCUCGCAGUUUAGUUCAACCCCGGGAUAUUGGACGGUCCUGUCUACCAAGCGCCAGACAUGUUUGCUUGAAUGGAAAUAAGUUGUCCAUAGAAAUUAGUUGUCAACUAUUUUUGAAUAAACAAUAUCGAAGACAUAUAUAUUCACUACAAGAAAAUUGAGAUACUGUGACGAAAAUCCUCGUGACAAUGGUGGACAACGUCACACAAAUACGUAAUGCGUGAUGUUUUCCUAGGUAGCGUCACUGAUUACUACAAAUCGGUGACAAUAGACGUCACUUAAUCGGUUCGGCCCAUGAGUGCACCUGGCUACCAAUUUCUAAGACAGUUUGGUAAUUUCGAUGACGAACCAACUGGAGUCAUCGAAUAUGAAUGUGUGAGGAUCACUUUUCUGUCAUGUAACGUCUAGCAAUGGGACCUGCCAUAGUGCUUGACGGGUUAACGAGUCGUAUGACCCGUGUAAUAGUGUUGACAGUAGGAUCCAUCAUAGUUUUUUCAUAGUAUACUUACCAAUAUAAUUACGUUGUUCUAUCUAAUAUAGACGGGUAAUGGCCAGGGGAAAACUAAUUUUGUUCCGUCUAACAUAAAUAGGUAGUGGUUGAGGGGAAAAAACCUAAGUCCUUCAUUCAUGAGCUCUUAUUUCGUUCUAUCAGAAAAAAAAUGGAAAUAUGAGUUGGCGGAAAAAAGUUUGGUACAGGGAGUUUGAACCUGGGAUCAUUAUGGUCUCAAAUAACGGCGUUGAAAAUAAGCUAGAGUUUAGAUGCUAUCGUAAAUUAUGCUAAAAUAUAUUUAUUAUGUUCUUUUUUGUACACAUAUUUAUUAUGUUCUUGGACGAUAUUCUUGUAGCAUUUAGCAAGUUAGUUAUUUCUUCGCGCCGGGGCGUGUGUGACUCGAUCUGUAGGUUAGUUAUUUCUUACCGAGCCGUAUGUGAUCGAUCUGUUCGUUUAUUCGGUGUUCUAGAUGGCGUCGCUCGGUUAGUAACUUCGUAUGUUUUUUUUAAUCCUCAAAAAAAAAACUUCGUAUGUUUUUGUUUUGAGGCAAAGUAACUUCGUAUGUGACGGGUAUACACCACAGCAUGUGGCCUGGUUUUUCUUUUUCUUUUUGAUAAUCAGCAUGCGCCCCUUUUUUUAGAGUUUUCUACGUGGGCUAAAGCCCGCUCAACCCCGCCUAUAAGCAGCGAAUUUUUUCCCCUCGGCCACCUCCUCCUUCCGAGCGAAACCCUACCUAUCCGAUCUGGCUCUCUCUCGCUCAUGUGGCAGCAGCGGUAGAUCGGAGGCAACAAAGCGCGACGACGGCGGCAGGAGUAGCUGCUCUCCUCUCCCUCUCCCUCUCCUGUCGAGUUCCUUCAGGGCGUCCUGCUGCGGAAGUUGCUCGUUGCGUCAGGGCCAGACAUGGUGCACGGCGGCAGACCCUGCGUGCGCCGCGGCCGGACUAGACUGAUCACGCGGCGGCGGCCCAGCCAGUGUGCGUGUCAUCCAUUCCCAGUGUGAUUGCUUGCAUGCGUCUUCCGAUCCCUAUUGCAGGAUUGAACCCUGUAUCUCUGGUGCCAUUCGUCUAUACACUUCUCAAUUCCAUCGGUGCAAGUGAGGGAGAGGAGGAGACAUUGUGAUAUGGGUAUUUGGUUAUGGCUUCCCGGAGUGAAACCCCCGGUUCGCCUACAAUACCCGCACCAGCCCCUUAUCAGUGGCUACCGCCACAGGGUAUGUUUAACUAAUUAGUCGGGCCGCUGUCGUCUGACCAUCCGUACUAGUGAGAUACAUCUUGUUGACCCUCUGUUUUUUCUUCUUCUUGGGUUUUGUCCAUCAGGUUGACAUGGAGCACAGGUCACAGGGGCACACCAGAGUUCCGGAGAAGACCGUCAAGCUCGACCAGCAACCUGGGUUAACAUGUGUACGACGCUCAACUCUCUGCUCUAAGUUUAGAUGAACCGCUUACAUGCGGGGAUUGGUUCAGAUAUCCGUUUUGUUCUGUUCCUCACUGUGAGUUCUUAUUGGUCAAUUGUGAGAUGCUUCUAUAUUACUCCCUCCAUCCUAAAAUAAGUGACUCGACUUUGUACUAAAGUUAGUACAAAGUCGAGUCAUUUAUUUUGAGACGGAGGGAAUUCACUGGAGUCCUUUGUGGCAAUCAGAAGUGAUACUGAUUGUAUGGUAAUGUAGAUAACUGUCCAAGCAAGCUGAGACUACAUCUAAAGAUGAAAGCCUAAAUGAGCUCUUUUACCAUAGAGUAAUUGUAAUUAAUUUCUUUUGAGAUGGAACUGUCUUAUUGAUCACACUUCUAAUCACUGUGUGCCAAAGACAACAUUUAAGUUUCUCAAAAGUUCUUCAUUCCUUCUUCCCUGUUCUAGGCUGCUUGAAGGGUUCUUCCUCUCGAGGCUUUGUUGAAUAUACUAUUUUUUUUGCACCAUUUUAAUUUGUGAAGGAGUACCUACUACAAAUGCUAAUUUGCUCCUCUUGGGAUUUCGAACUUUGGGUUCUGCUAUCAUUUAUGUAUGUCCUAUUAAUUCCAAUACUUGUCUUGCUUUGUGAUGCAUUCAUACAUGUUUAUUCCAAUCUAUUAUUUCAGAUGACCUUUGUUGCUCACAACUACGACAUGUUUAGUUCUGUUCAUAUCACUUAUUAGAAAAGUACUAACAUGUAUUUUUUGUUUAAGAUUCCAACGUAGAGCUCUAGUUAUAACUUGCAUAUGUCCUCUGUUGCAAUAGUAGAUGGUUUUCUGUAACUCAUUCAAACUAAUAUUUAUGUAUUUGUUUCUAAUAGGCUGAUUCGUAAGUCAUGUUUCAAGAAGUUGAUAUGAACAAAGGAGGAUCAGACCAACUCUACCUGCCUUCAAGAAGUCACAAGAAGUGGCAUCCAACAAAGGUUCCACGUUUCGAUGAAGGUGGGAGAGUGCCACACCAAAAAUUCUCUAUUGUUGACCUCCAAAAUUAGAAAGGAUGUUGUAUCAGAUGAUUAUGUACCUUGGGUUAUUUUGGAAUGGGCAUGUAAGUGAUGUGUAAUAUGCCCCCUGUUUAAGACUAGUUGGCUUGUAAUGUGAUGAGAAAAUUGGUCAAUGGAAAGAUGGCCUUAAAACUGCCACAAGCACACUACGCGUUUUGAAUCAGACCAGGCCAAAGCAAUAUUAGAGGAAGAACCUAUAAAGAAAAUAAUUCUUGAAAGGCUAGCAAAAAUGGCAAUUGAUUCACAAAAAGUGUGGGCUGGAUCAACCUCUAUUGGGUUGCAAAUUGGCUAUGGCCCACCAAAAAUUAGAAUCAAAAAUAGAAAAUGGGUUGAAUUAUUGGGCUUGGCCCAUUUGGAAACCAAGUGUGCACUAGCCCACCAAAAAUCUAGUGACGACAUCUUCGUCACCGAAGGUCCCAUAUCCGGUGACGUUUUUUGCGCGCCGCGUCACUAGGAAUAAUCUGUGACGGGGAUUCUGUGACGAAGCUGGUGACGCAUGAAAAAUGUCACCCAUGAGUAUUUUGUGACAUUUUUAGCUAUUACGUGACAUUUGUCAGCUUGUCACAGUAGGUCUGAUCUCUUGUAGUGAUUGUUGAGAAACUCACAUAAUGGUAGAACUGGAGGCAUCUACACAUCGACCCAGAUGUCUCUAUUACCUUCAAUAUCAUCUUCCGGACAAAUAUCAAAGGUGAUAACCAUAUCAGGCUCAAAUGCAUAAGCCUUGCAUAAUGCUUGCCAAGUUUUGCAUUCAAAAUAGGUGUAUGUGUCUGCAUUGUAUAAUUUGACAUUGAAAGUAUAACCAUGCUCGGUCUUCAGGUAAACUCUCUUUACCUCCAUAGUUGCCAUAGCACUGAAACCUAUCUUAUCCAAGACAAAAAUUCUUGCAUGACAAGGGAUGCGCUAGUAGAAUAGUGAAAAUUUAAAAUUAUAAGUUGAAGCAAAUGAAGUAUAAGUCAUGCUUAAUUACGAAAAAAGACUUGUCAUUGUGAAUUACUGUAUCCACUUCGAAGGUCUCAUCCAGCUUGAUGCUGAAGCACCUAUCAUCAAUAAGGAAAUUUCUGUCGCACAGGCCGCACUGGUCUUCACAGUAUUCGCACAUAAUGAAAUCUUUUUCGUCGUCAGACGACAUUUCCUAUGUUCACAUAGGUGAAACAUUAAACACUUACUAGUUCUAUUAAUUCAACUAGUUAUAUUAAUUCAACUAAGCAUUUACUAAAAAUAAACUAGUUCUAUUAAUUUUAUUACUAAAAUAAAGUAGAUAGUUCUAUAUAGUAAUAUUUUAAUUAGAUCAUCAAAUGUCAGGUAUCUAAAUUUUCUUACUAAAAAUAAACUAGUUCUAUUAAUUCAACUAAUUCAACUAAGAAUUUACUAAAAAUAAACUAGUUCUAUUAAUUUUCUUAGUAAAAUAUAUAAAGUAGCUAUANNNNNNNNNNNNNNNNNNNNNNNNNNNNNNNNNNNNNNNNNNNNNNNNNNNNNNNNNNNNNNNNNNNNNNNNNNNNNNNNNNNNNNNNNNNNNNNNNNNNNNNNNNNNNNNNNNNNNNNNNNNNNNNNNNNNNNNNNNNNNNNNNNNNNNNNNNNNNNNNNNNNNNNNNNNNNNNNNNNNNNNNNNNNNNNNNNNNNNNNNNNNNNNNNNNNNNNNNNNNNNNNNNNNNNNNNNNNNNNNNNNNNNNNNNNNNNNNNNNNNNNNNNNNNNNNNNNNNNNNNNNNNNNNNNNNNNNNNNNNNNNNNNNNNNNNNNNNNNNNNNNNNNNNNNNNNNNNNNNNNNNNNNNNNNNNNNNNNNNNNNNNNNNNNNNNNNNNNNNNNNNNNNNNNNNNNNNNNNNNNNNNGCGACGGGGAUGCGGCGCGACGGGCGGCGACGGCGCGAGACGGCGACGUACGGGGCGGCGGCGCGAGACAGCGACGACGGGUGGUGGGGGCGGCGAGGGCGAGACAUACCACGCGAUGGGCGACGGCGCGGCGGCGGCAAUGUCGCGCGAAGCAGUUGAAGAAGAAGUGAGGACAUGAAACUGAAUUUUUCGUAAGUGCUAUAUAUAUAGGAGGGGCCUUUAGUACCGGUUGGAGCCACCAACCUGUACUAAAGGCCAAAUUUGGCCAAGUCAAGCGGCGGGAAGCGGCCCCCUUUAGUACCGGUUGGAGUCACGAACCGAUACUAAAGGGGUGCGCUGCGAUGCGCAAAGUUUAGUCCCACCUCACCGGACGAAGGGCAGCCGCACUGGUUUAUAAACCAGGCUUCUGGGCCUAAGUAUGGCGUGCUGUCCUCUGAGCCUGCUGGCCCUUGUGGGCCUGAAUUUACAUGCCCAAGGCCUAUCAGCCCCAUUAGAUAGCGCCCCAACAAUUUUUCAUAUAGUUUUUUAUUUUUUGCUUUAUUUUUUUAUUUAUUUCUGAGUAAUUUUUUAAUAUAGUUUUUUUAUGAUUUAUUUAUUUUCUUCUAUUUAUUUCUGAGUAGUUUUUUAUAUAGUUUUUUCUUCUUUAUUUAUUUUCUUNNNNNNNNNNNNNNNNNNNNNNNNNNNNNNNNNNNNNNNNNNNNNNNNNNNNNNNNNNNNNNNNNNNNNNNNNNNNNNNNNNNNNNNNNNNNNNNNNNNNNNNNNNNNNNNNNNNNNNNNNNNNNNNNNNNNNNNNNNNNNNNNNNNNNNNNNNNNNNNNNNNNNNNNNNNNNNNNNNNNNNNNNNNNNNNNNNNNNNNNNNNNNNNNNNNNNNNNNNNNNNNNNNNNNNNNNNNNNNNNNNNNNNNNNNNNNNNNNNNNNNNNNNNNNNNNNNNNNNNNNNNNNNNNNNNNNNNNNNNNNNNNNNNNNNNNNNNNNNNNNNNNNNNNNNNNNNNNNNNNNNNNNNNNNNNNNNNNNNNNNNNNNNNGAGUACUUUUUUAUAUAGUUUUUUCUUUUCUGCUUUAUUUUUUUUCUUCUACUUAUUUCUGAGUAGUUCGAAAGAUAGUUUUCGUCCGAAACCCUAAUAGUUCGAAAAAGAGUGUCCAGUUUGUACACCAAGUGCAUCCAGUUCUUGCCAUAACCAACUCUAAUUUUUUGCAUAUGCCAUGUGGGUGAAAUGAUGAUACCAUGCCAAGUUUCAACCUUUUCAGAGUUCAUUUGUAGUGCUUUUCAAUUUCAGGGUCAUUUGGCUCAAAACAAAUCAGUAAAUGCAUCAAAAAUAUCAAUUUAUGUCAGAAAGGGUUGAAAGUUAACGAAGUGGCAUUGAAUGGAGCAUAAUGAACGUAAAAAAGUCCGGAGUUGUAAUAAGUUAUUAAAAUUUUGAAUAGCCAGUGUAACAGAUGAGUUCUCGUCCGAAACCCUGAUCCUCUGUAAGAGAUUGUCCCAGUUUGUACAUGAAGUGCAUCCAGUUUUUGCCGUAACCCUCUCUACUCUUUUGCACAUGCUAGGUGGGUGAAAUGAUGAUACCAUGCCAAGUUUCAACAUUUCCAGAGUUCAUUUUGUAGUGAUUUUCAAUUUCACGGUCAUUUAGCUCUCUAAACAAAUCGGUAAAUGACUGAAAAAUAGCAAAUGAUGUCAGAACAUGUUGAAAAUUGAUGACUUCUCUUUGAAUGGUGCAUACGGAAUGCAAAAAAAGUCUGGAGUUCAAACAAGUUUAAAAAAAUGAAGUGACUGUGUAACAAAUGAGUUCUCGUCCAAAACCCUGAUACUCCGAAAGAGAUUGUCCAGUUUGUACACGAAGUGCAUCCAGUUUUUGUCGUAACCCUCUCUACUCUUUUGCAUAUGCUAUGUGGGUGAAAUGAUGAUACCAUGCCAAGUUUCAACAUUUUCAGAGUUCAUUUUGUAGCGAUUUUCAAUUUCACAGUCAUUUAGCUCUCUAAAAAAAUCGAUAAAUGACUAAAAAUAGCAAAUAAUGUCAGAAUGUGUUGAAAAUUGAUGACUUCGCUUUGAAUGGUGCAUAUGGAACGCAAAAAAAGUCUGGAGUUCAAAUAAGUUUAAAAAAUGAAGUGCUCGUGUAACAAAUGAGUUCUCAUCCGAAACCCUGAUACUCCGAAAGAGAUUGUUCAGUUUGUACACGAAGUGCGUCCAGUUUUUGUCGUAACCCUCUCUACUCUUUGCACAUGCUAUAUGGGUGAAAUUAUGAUACCAUGCCAAGUUUCAACAUUUCCAGAGUUCAUUUUGUAGUGAUUUUCAAUUUCACGGUCAUUUAGCUCUAUAAACAAAUUGGUAAAUGACUGAAAAAUAGCAAAUGAUGUUAGAACAUGUUGAAAAUUGAUGACGUCGCUUUGAAUGAUGCAUAUAGAACGCAAAAAAAUUCUGGAGUUCAAAUAAGUUAAAAAAAUGAAGUGCCCGUUUAACAGAUGAGUUCUCGUCCGAAAUCGUGAUACUCCGAAAGAGAUUGUCCAGUUUAUACAUGAAGUGCGCCCAGUUUUUGCCGUAACCCUCUCUACUCUUUUGCGCAUGCUAUGUGGGUGAAAUGAUGAUAUCAUGCCAAGUUUCAACAUUUUCAGAGUUCAUUUUGUACUGAUUUUCAAUUUCACGGUCAUUUAGCUCUCUAAACAAAUCGGUAAAUGAAAAAAUAGCAAAUGAUGUCAGAACGUGUUGAAAAUUGAUGACUUCGCUUUGAAUGGUGCAUACGGAACGCAAAAAAGUAUGGAGUUCAAAUAAGUUUAAAAAAUGAAGUGCCCGUGUAACAGAUGAGUUCUCGUCCGAAACCCUGAUACCCUGAAAGAGAUUGUCCAGUUUGUACACGAAGUGUGUCUAAUUUUUGUUGUAACCCUCUCUACUCUUUUGCACAUGCUAUGUGGGUGAAAUGAUGAUACCAUGCAAAGUUUCAACAUUUUCAGAGUUCAUUUGUAGUGAUUUUCAAUUUCACGGUCAUUUAGCUGGGGCGACCGGCGGGGUAGGACCGGCGUGGGGGGAUUGAGGGGGAGACCGAGUGAGUGUGAGUGUGAGUGGAGAGAGGAGAGAGUGAGGGCGUAAACAUGUAAAAAUAUACAUAAAAAAUACAUUGAUUAUCAAUGAUCUUUUUGUGUACAAUCUGAAUUUUCAAUAUGAGUCCUCAACGGUUUAGAAACCGGUGAAGACUCAUAUUGCGACCACAAAUUCUACACAUAGAGUUCAAUGAAGACCAAGUGCUUGUGAUAGUUUGAGAAGUAACAUACUUAGGGUGGUAAAAAUCCUGCUAGGGGAGUGAGGUAGAACUAAAAAUAGCCUGCCACAACCACUUUACUACCGGUUCAUGCCAUGAACCGUUACUAAAGGGGCUGGCCGGGCCCCAGCCUGACAACAGCCAACCACUGCCUCUUUAGUACCGGUUCGUGGCACGAACCGGUACUAAAGAUUCGCUAAGAACCGGUACUAAAGAUCUCCUCCCGCCUAGCCGUUGAAACCGGCACUAAUGGACAUAUUAGUGCCGACUCAAAUUCAAACCGGGACUAAUGUGUCUCACAUUUGACCCUUUUUCUACUAGUGGCAUAGCGAGGCGAUAUCGGCGGAGUAUCGACGGUGUGGCGACAUGAUAGAUUUUGGGAAGGGUUAGAGACUACAUGUGUGUGAGAGAGAAAUUGAGAGAGGGGAUAGCGAGGGGCCGCGUCGACGGUCUAGGCCCACAAACUGGUGGUCUGGGCGAUGGGGCCAACACCACCCGUAGUUUUUUAUUUAGCUUAUUAAUUUGUAUUUUAUAUAUGUUUCAUUUAGCUAAUAUAUAUUUUAUUUAGCUUAUUUUUCAAUUUAGGUUAAUUUUGAAAUUAUAUUUCAUUUAGUUUAUGUUUCCUUAGAUUAUUUUUUUAGUUUAGAUUUAAUUUACAGAUUGUAUUUUAUUUCAAUUUCUAAUUUGUAUUAUAUUUACCUUAUUUUUCAUUUAUGUUUCAUUUAGCUUACUUUUCAAUUUAGCUUACUUUUAAAAUUAUAUUUCAUUUAAUUAUGCUUUAGUUAGGUUCUAAAUUAUUUUUUAUUUAGUCCAUAUAUAUAUGUAGAAACUAUAUACAAUAGAGAUGUUGCCAUAUGCUUACUGGUGGCGUAUCCAAAUAGUACAUGUCAGGACACCAUGGGUUCGGUGAGGAUACUUCGUCCCACUCACUUGUGGUGUGUACAAACUAAUCCACACUACCAGUAACCUAUUACAGGUGGUGCACCAAAUGUACCCAGGUCACCGAUAUUUCAGAAAAAUUGCGGUGGUAAGGAUUGAAAAUGGCGCAUCGCUAAUUAGGAUUGUGUGUAACCAUUUCUACACUACUGAUCUACACCAUUGCUCAUGUGGCAGGAAUGAUUGUUCAUUACAACCCUCUUACAAAGAAUUGUGCAUAACACACACAUCGUGGUAGAUCUACCCUUUUCAAAGAAAAGCACAACCAAACUGUUGCUACUUCUCGAGAGACUUUUCAGAUUCCUAAUACACCCAUAAUCAGACCUCUUCAUACCCUCGAGAGAAUUCUCCAUGUCUUCUGCUUUAGAUUUGGUCCCCUCUUGGAGGAGUGUCGCGGUAUUCUCACGGGGGUGCAAGACGACAUAUGGCACAAGGUGGCUUCGUGUGAGGGCAAGACUGCUGCUGGAAUAUCUAGGGAUGGGUAUGCGAGUAUCACACGCUAGUUUACCCAGGUUCGGGGCUCUCCGGAGAGAUAACACCCCUACUCCUGCAUGUCUGAGUAUAUGUGGUAUAUCUGGUACAGAGUGCUCCUGGAGCUGUAUCUGAGGUCAGUGCCAUAGGCAUCUGGCCUUGUAUAUGCAUGUGGCAUGGUGGCCGUUGCUCUUGGCCGAAUGGGUGUGCUUGGGCAUGCUUGCCCGUAGGAGUGGAUGGAUGGAUUGCUAGCUAGCUCUCUUGCUAGCUAGCUAGCUUGUGUGUGUGCGUGAGUGUGUGAGUCCAUCCUCUGAUGGAUGGAUGGAGCUAGCUAUAUAUAGUGUGUAGUGGGCAUGGGACAUGGCGUUGGUUGUAAGCUACCUUGGGUAGCUUACAAGCCAAGCCAUGCAUGGGGCAUGGUGCAUGUCAAGCUUGUCCCUUAGGAUAUUUUAUAAAUCAGUACCCAGGGGACAUGGUACACUAUAGAUAAUGUCACGGUAUGGUCACCCCGUCGGUGUCUCGUCAGGCUACAGUUGACUUCGGGCAGUCGGCCUGGCGGAGGAGUCGGCAGCCAGCAGUCGGCCUGGUGGAGCAGUCGGCAGCCAGCAGUCGGCCUGGUGGAGCAGUCGGCAGCCAGCAGUCGGCCUGGUGGAGCAGUCAGCAGCCAGCAGUCGGCAGCCAGCAGUCGGCCUGGUGGAGCAGUCGGCAGCCAGCAGUCGGCCUGGUGGAGCAGUCAGCAGCCAGCAGUCAGCCGCCGGCCAGGUAGUUGGAAUGAGGGGGCUUUGCUAGCCCCGAUGUCUUGAAUUCUUGUCUCGCCCUCUUCGGGGUAUCCGUGUCCAAUUACUACGACAGUAGCCCCCAAGCCUCCGGGCAACUUGGCAAAGUUGGGCGGAGGUUUUUUGGCAAGUGUUCAUGGAAAUGAUCAUGAAAAAGACACAGUUAGUCUAUGCAGAUAUAUCAAAUGUUUGCUUUUAGCAUUGCAAGUUUUAUGCGGAGGGUGCCGACUCGGUUUCGUCCGAGCCCCCUUAAUCUUUUUCGUGUUCCCUCCGCUUUUUGGCUUGUGCUCUCGCUCGCCGGACAGCCGCUCUGCGGUUUGUGGCUGAGAGUGGGCCGCGAAGCGGAGUGUACAAUACUCAGAGUCUGGGAGCAGAUUCAACCGAGUUGAUACUUGUAAAGGAAACGGUCGGGUCGCCCGAAGCGUUUUUCUUCCCGGACGUUUUUCGCGUGGGUGGCCUCCAGCGUUCACUCUUGCUAGUCGGACAGCCGCUCUGCGGUCUGUGACUAAGAGUGGGCUUUUGGUACCGCGCACGGUACUAAGCCGUCUGCGGGAACUAACGUCUCAGGCCAAGCGGCCAGCCCCCGGACCAACUCUGGCUGGCGCCGGGGCGAACAGUGAUGCUACUGUAAUAAAAUGCGGAGACAGCCCCCGAGCAUCGCUUGGGGUUAUCCGUGCUUGCGUGGUGCAAAAAAUAUGCGGGUGAGGAUCUCACAUUGGUUUUUGUGUAGCCGAGGCAGAGUUUGCCGAAGACAGCCGGCGCGGCUCAACGCUUGCUGAGCGCGCCGGCGCACCCGCUGGGUGUAGUCUUCGAGCCUCCGGGUGCUUAAGAAGGGUCCAGCUGAUCGGGCUUGACCGGCCAGGCGGCGAGCGGAACGCGGCCGAGCCGUCUUGGCACAGCCGGCCAAGCGGCGAGGCAUCUGGCAGCACCCUUUUCUUCUUUUUUCUCUUCUGCCGGCUACUGAGAGCCAGACAAAACUCUUCUCUUGCCUGUAAUCUUCCGUGGGGGCGCACCAGCGCACCCGCUGGGUGUAAGCCCCGAGAUUCGGGCCAACUACUGAGCAGUCGGGCCGGAUCUCCCGGCAACUACUUUGUCUUCUUCUUUGAGGGGGCGCGUCAGCGCAUCCGCUGGAUGUAGCCCCCGAGAUUCAGGUCGACUGCUGAGCAGUCGGGCCGGAUCUCCCGUCAACUACUUUGUCUUCUUUGUUGAAGUUGAUUCAUUUUUCUUCUUCUCUUUUUCUCGUCAGCCGGCCGGGCAGGCGGACUCCGGCAUAGCAGUCGGGCCCUUUACAGCCGGCCAGGCAGUCAUCGGUCGGACGCAAAUCUGGCAGUCGGACGCAUAUUCCAGCCGGUUGCCUGCCAUCGAAUGCACAUCUCUCUCACUUCUUUUUUUGUCCGACUCCACGUGGGGAGCCGGACCCUUCUUUCCUCUGCCGGCUUGGGCAGCCGGCAUCGCUCCACCCGGCCCCAUUUUUUUUCUGCCAGUCGGCUGUGGGCAGUCAGCUUCCCACUCUUUUUUUGUUUUUUUUUCUGGCUAUGGGCAGCCGGACGUGUAGACUCUUUCUCUUUUUUUAGCAGAAACAGCCGGCUCCACAUUUUUCCAACAGUCGGACUCUGUUUCUUUCAGUCGGAUGGGCAGUCGGCCCCAGCACGAGCAGCCGGCCGCAGCUGCUGAGCAGCGGAAUGCGGCGCGGGAGCGCGCAGUCGGCAGGCAGCCGGGCUGGCUGGGUGGCCAGGGAGUCGGCCAGUACGAGAGCCGGCCGGGUGGCCAGGGAGUCGGCCAGUGCGGGAGCCGUUCGGGCCGCGCGCGGGACCAAUCGGCUGGGGAAGCCGGCAGGCGGGGCGCGGCUGUAGAGGAGGCGUGCGGGGCAGGCGGCCACGGGCGGACCGGCACAGGCGGACGGGUCGCGGAGCCGCGGGCAGGAGGAUGUGGGGCGGCGCAGGNNNNNNNNNNNNNNNNNNNNNNNNNNNNNNNNNNNNNNNNNNNNNNNNNNNNNNNNNNNNNNNNNNNNNNNNNNNNNNNNNNNNNNNNNNNNNNNNNNNNNNNNNNNNNNNNNNNNNNNNNNNNNNNNNNNNNNNNNNNNNNNNNNNNNNNNNNNNNNNNNNNNNNNNNNNNNNNNNNNNNNNNNNNNNNNNNNNNNNNNNNNNNNNNNNNNNNNNNNNNNNNNNNNNNNNNNNNNNNNNNNNNNNNNNNNNNNNNNNNNNNNNNNNNNNNNNNNNNNNNNNNNNNNNNNNNNNNNNNNNNNNNNNNNNNNNNNNNNNNNNNNNNNNNNNNNNNNNNNNNNNNNNNNNNNNNNNNNNNNNNNNNNNNNNNNNNNNNNNNNNNNNNNNNNNNNNNNNNNNNNNNNNNNNNNNNNNNNNNNNNNNNNNNNNNNNNNNNNNNNNNNNNNNNNNNNNNNNNNNNNNNNNNNNNNNNNNNNNNNNNNNNNNNNNNNNNNNNNNNNNNNNNNNNNNNNNNNNNNNNNNNNNNNNNNNNNNNNNNNNNNNNNNNNNNNNNNNNNNNNNNNNNNNNNNNNNNNNNNNNNNNNNNNNNNNNNNNNNNNNNNNNNNNNNNNNNNNNNNNNNNNNNNNNNNNNNNNNNNNNNNNNNNNNNNNNNNNNNNNNNNNNNNNNNNNNNNNNNNNNNNNNNNNNNNNNNNNNNNNNGCGGACGCGGGAGGCGGGCGCGGGAGCCGGCUGUGGGCGCGGAGCACGCGGCCGCGACCCAAGGCGGAGAGGAGCGGAGGCCGGUCCGGGGCAGCGGCAGCCGACGCAGCCGGAUCUGGAGUCGGCGGCCAGGCAGAGUCGGUGCGCGCGGUGGAGCAGGCGGAGGGCGACAGGGCCGGUGCCUCAGUGCUGUUGGAGGCCGGUCCCGGGCAGCCCGCGGAGCCGCGGGGAGCAGCUGGUGGUCGCAGACGCGCGGCCGUGGGCGAGCUCGCAGAUGGCCGUCAGCGGGCGGAGUGGAGGAGAGCUGCAGGGAGCCCAAGAAGGCCGGCAGCGUCCAUCGGGUGUGGACGGAGCCGAAGAGGGCCGAAGCCUGGCGGAGCAGCUCGCUUGAUUUGCUUUGGUGGUCAGUGCGAAUGGAGAUGAGCAGAAGACGAGCGCCCAUGAGCAGGGAGAUUGAGAGAAGCGAAGAACACAGCGUGCACGAGCAUAGUAUGGCCAAUGUAUGGUCAAUAUCCGACCAUUAUCUAGGCAGUGUACAUGCUACGUCUGGGACGCAUCUAAGAAGAGUAUAGCCAUUAUCUGGCUAUUGCAUAUCUAGCAUCUGGCCAACGAACAGGUGUAGUAUGGGCAUUGUAUGGAUAGUGUACAAGCAUUAUCUGGCUUGUGUAUGGCUAUGGUUUGACCGUGCAUCUAGCUAGCUUGCAUAGACGUAUAUGGAGGAGCGAACGCGCGUUCCGGCCGGAAACUAGGCGCAGCGCGGAGGGGAGCGGACGCGAAACUGCCGACCGAGGCGAGGCCCCACGCGCGGCGCACACACGGACGGACGGCCGGCGUCGCAACGGUGGUGACGAAGGCGGCGAGGCCGACGACGAGGACGCACCGUCCCAUGCGGCCGCUCCGGGGGCAGGUCGAAGUCGAGCCCCCGAGCGCUACCGGAGAGACGGCGCGACGCCGCGGCAGAGAUGAUGAAGAUGGUCCCGCCCGGACUACGAAACCAGCAGCAACGCGGUAGCAUAGUACCGCCCCACGGUGGGCGCCAAAUGUCGUGGUAUUCUCACGGGGAAUGCAAGAUGACAUAUGCCACAAGGUGGCUUCGUGUGAGGGCAAGACUGCUGCCGGAAUAUCUAGGGACGGGUAUGCGAGUAUCACGCGCUAGUUUACCCAGGUUCGGGGCUCUCCGGAGAAAUAACACCCCUACUCCUGCAUGUCUGAGUAUAUGUGGUAUAUCUGGUACAAAGUGCUCCUGGAGCUGUAUCUGAGGUCAGUGCCAUAGGCAUCUGGCCUCGUAUAUGCAUGCGGCAUGGUGGCCGUUGCUCUUGGCCGAAUGGGCGUGCUUGGGCAUGCUUGCCCGUAGGAGUGGAUGGAUGGAUUGCUAGCUAGCUCUCUUGCUAGCUAGCUAGCUUGUGUGUGUGCGUGAGUGUGUGAGUCCAUCCUCUAAUGGAUGGAUGGAGCUAGCUAUAUAUAGUGUGUAGUGGGUAUGGGACAUGGCGUUGGUUGUAAGCUACCUUGGGUAGCUUACAAGCCAAGCCAUGCAUGGGGCAUGGGGCAUGGUGCAUGUCAAGCUUGUCUCUAGGGUAUUUUAUAAAUCAGUAUCCAGGGGACACGGUACACUAUAGAUGACGUCACGGUAUGGUCGUUCCGUCGCUGUCUCGUUAGGCUGCAGUUGACUUCGGGCAGUCGGCCUGGUGGAGGAGUCGGCAGCCAGCAGUCGGCCUGGUGGAGCAGUCGGCAGCCAGCAGUCGGCCUGGUGGAGCAGUCAGCAGCCAGCAGUCGGCAGCCAGCAGUUGGCAGCCAGCAGUCGGCCUGGUGGAGCAGUCGGCAGCCAGCAGUCGGCCUGGUGGAGCAGUCGGCAGCCAACAGUCGGCCUGCUGGAGCAGUCAGCAGCCAGCAGUCAGCCGCCGGCCAGGUAGUUGGACUGAGGGGUUUUGCUAGCCCCGAUAUCUUGAAUUUUUGUCUCGCCCUCUUCGGAGUAUCCGUGUCCAAUUACUUCUAAAUUACUUCGACAAGGAGUAUGGUUCUAUGUCUGGCUCACGACAUUGUUGGCAAACUCCAAAGUGGGAAUGUUCGCAGACCUUCUCCGGCUAGCCUAAAACCAAAUCAUAAUCCUGACCCCCGUGUAGAUCAAAUCUACAAGCCCUUUUCAUUGCAUUUUGUAUCAAUGUUAACUAAAGUGAAACCCAAAGAGUCCGAAGCAUGACUUUGGUCACACAACCAGCAUACUCAGAAGCAUAAAAGGACCGUGGAAAGGAAGACCUUGUAAAAAAAAUUCAUUAAGUCAUCAAUAUCAAUAAAAUUGCAAAUUCGAGGGAAGCAAAAGGAGCACACAAAAUAUGUUUGAUGCUUGCACAUCACUAUGUGCUCUUGAUCGUACAUGCAUCUACUCAUAGAAAGCUCAUGAGGCCACUGUUGUGGAACAUAGUACAAAAUAUAAAAAUUUACCGCACUAACAUGCACGCUCAGGAACACUAUGAAGAUGCAUAUAGUUAAAUCAAUCUUUACCAACACAAACGCAUCAGAAAAUUUGAUGUUGCUGAAGACGCACAAAUUCCUACAACUAGGUUAAAUCUCCUAGCCGUGAGACUUCCUCAUGUCUAGGAUCGAACGUAUGAUCCCUCUAUGAUAUCCACGUGUUACGUGUCAGCGAUUCAACAGCUCUUCACCAUCUAGUACAAAGUGCAGUCUAGUAGCAUGGAGAAGAAAUAUCACACCGAGAGAGGGAGAGUGCAACAAAAAAUUGGUGUGUUUGGAGGGCAACAUCUCCCCUCUAUUUAUAGAUGGUCAAGUGGUAUCACAGCCUUGGACAGGGGCUGCCCUCCUAGGGCUAGUAUACCAAGUAGGGAGAUUCUCCUAGAGGAUCCCCUCCCAAUCCUAGCGUCCCAUUCUUUCUUUCCCAUGGAGAGGUGGGGCUCACCAACUUGGACCAUUUGGCCCAAGGGCUGCCACCCAUUGGGACAGCCAAGGGGCAGCCCACUCGGGCCACUUGGAACCUUCUUGGACCUUCUAGGUACGUCCAUGUCCUGAUUUUUCUGGAAUGCUUCCGUCACUUUCCCGAAACACUUACCUUGAAUACGGAACAUUUCUCGUUCCUUUCUCAUUUACUCCUAGUACAUGUGUGGCCAUGCAUGUUUGGUAAUAUAUGGACAUGUCCCAGAACAACUUUGGGCCAAUAAGGGGUCUAGAUACCCAUGUUGAUUCCCACAUACACAUAAAGAUAUUUAUCGGGUGAACCUUUUAUUUGCGUAGACAAUUCCUUUUGCUUCGCGAUACUUAAGAAAACCCGAUGCGAGAUUUUUAUCACUAUGCCUGUGAAGCAAUUACUUGAUCACAAUACCGAGUUAUCUCCACUACCAGUUUGUUCUGUUUUCUCAUUUCCUUAUUCCAGUAUCUCUGAGAUCAUAUCACACUGUGUCUGGCCAGACAUGAUGGAUACCGUAAUAUUGAGAGGGCAUGAGGAGUAUCUCCUCAUCGUCGUAGGAGCAAAUCUUAGUCUUGAACUAUUGAGUCCCUUGGCAUACUUUUUUGAUGUACCCGACAGUUACCAUUGUGAUCACCCAUUCACGAGUAAAGUUUAGCAACCUCAAAGUAACCGUCCAGUAUGAAGGAACACGACACUCUCAUUCUCUAAGGAUGUGAGUAUAUGUUAACUCUUCACAUGAUAAAACCGAUAACAACAUGAAGAUGGAAUCUCGUGUAUAUCAUUAGUUGGGUCUGUCCAACACAAUUGUUCUGCCAAUAAUGUGUUCUUAUUGUUGUCGGCAUCCUUGUUACUUAACAAUGCCCUAUGGUCUAAAAAAUAAUACCAUCAUGCAACACAUGAGCUAGUAUUAAAUCUCAUAUUUAAGAAAUAAAUUAUAUUAUAUUAUUACCUUUAGGGCAUAUUUUCACCACAAAAUUCCCACCACUGGUACUUCCUAUGCAUGGGUGAGUGUGCGAAAUUACUGGUGCUGGGCACAAACAAUGCCCGACACUGGUACUUGAGUUGCCAAUGGCAGACAGAAAUACGUGCCCGCCACUGGUAUUUUAGGCUAGAAUAAUCCCGGGGCCCAAAAUUAUUUGUGGCGGACAGAACAUUAAAGGCAUGUAAUGUUGGCCCACAUCUAAUCUGGGCUGAUUUUACCAUUGGCAUUCACGACUUUGCGUCUGCCACUGGUAAGUGGCUAGAUUACCAAUGGUAGGCGCAAAUGCAUUCCCAUCACUGAUAAGGAUCCACCUAUAAGCAGUUUUCUAGUAACGUGGGAUAGUAGCACAUACGUGACCUCAAGACAUGAAUGACUCAGGUCACCUCUAAAGCCACUGGAUGCAUAGGAGGAGAGAGCCGACAAUCCCGUUGUCCCCUUCUUUGUAAGCCAUGCGGGCUUCUCCCAGUUGGCUAUUCCGGUGGCGGCGUCUGCGGGGAUACGGGAGGAGGACGGGUUGGGGCUAGGGUAGAGCCAUCUGUGAAAAAAACAUGGUGCUCGGAAAAGGAGUGUGCUUUCCUAUAAAUUACACCCUUGUGGUAUAGCCACAAAUCUGGAGGAAGAAGCUAGCUAGCCUUGUUAUGUUAUUUAUGUUUGCUGAAAAUUGAACCGUGAGAUAGAAUUUGAAAAUUAUGCAAUUUUAUUCGCGACAAUAUGUAUUGGCUACUUGGUGGUAGAUUUUCACAAUUGACUUUCUCAUUAGAUUAUGGUAAAUAAUUUUAUGUUGUACUCAGAAUGUACCUUUUUUACAUCAGUAUUAGAGAUUUUGCUGAAGCUGAACAUGAGGCGACGAGGCGGGCAACCUAGUAACCCUACCAACUACUUGUCAUCUACCCAUCUCGCUGCCACCAAGGCGUGUCACCGUGUAAAUCCCACGUGGAGGCGGCGAAGGUUGGGAGUCUCGAUUGGGGGGCUUGUUGUGAUGGCAGUGGAGGGUUGUUGUGGGACAAUGAAGGAGAUGUGUGGUCGAGCAGAGGUCUUCGUUAGGCGGUGCGCGACGCCAGCAUUGGAGAAGCCAAAAGGAUCUAUUGGGAAGAUCAUCAGUUGUCCAGCCCGGUUGGAUCAUCGGAGAAUAGGGCAUCGGUGAACAGUUCCGUAUGACAGCGAGCUUGAUACAAGACCCGGGCAUGUCCUGCCAUGGGUGAAUUUUUUCCAGGUUUUCUUAGGAAGUCUUUGUAUUUGUUUUNNNNNNNNNNNNNNNNNNNNNNNNNNNNNNNNNNNNNNNNNNNNNNNNNNNNNNNNNNNNNNNNNNNNNNNNNNNNNNNNNNNNNNNNNNNNNNNNNNNNNNNNNNNNNNNNNNNNNNNNNNNNNNNNNNNNNNNNNNNNNNNNNNNNNNNNNNNNNNNNNNNNNNNNNNNNNNNNNNNNNNNNNNNNNNNNNNNNNNNNNNNNNNNNNNNNNNNNNNNNNNNNNNNNNNNNNNNNNNNNNNNNNNNNNNNNNNNNNNNNNNNNNNNNNNNNNNNNNNNNNNNNNNNNNNNNNNNNNNNNNNUCUACAGACCCUUCUUGAAGGUUUUUUCUCCGGGGCGGCGUUUUGCUUCUCAGGUCACGGGUGCUGGCGUCUCCUAGUUUGCAUCGAUGACCUCCCACCCCUUGCAUCUACAAACUCUUGGGUUCAAAAAAGUUUGCUCUGGCUAGGCAGAGGCCAGAGGCGGCAUUAAUGUAGGCUCACGACACACCAUUGGUGAAUGCAGGAGGAAGAAGACUUGGGUGCCCCCAAGAUUUUGAGUGUUUCCUAUUUUUUUGUAAAGGUGUUUUUGUAGGGCCGUUUGAUACUUAAUAUGGCCUUAGGCCUUUUCGCAGAAAAAGGAGGUUUUGCUUAAUCUUCACAAAUUUGCACAUGUUUUUUCUUUCAUUUUACAGUUUUUAGCAUAACUUCAUUUCAUAGUUGACACCCGCUCCAUGAAGCUUCUUGGGUCAGCAUGCGGCACCCGCCGAACAUGCAUGGGGGUACACAACCUCCUAGGCCUUGGUCAUAGAUUGAAUAGGCUGCUCUGACCUGUAGGCCUAUCCUAGCUGGUCUCUUCCCUUUUGCACUGUGGUAAAUCCUAUUUCGCACUUAUAGUUUCAAACAAAGUUCAUAAGGUAAGCAGUGCUCAUACGCAAGCGCUAUGUCUCGUAUUAAGCGAGACAAAUGGAUCUCUCGCGUCGAGCGUUACAGAACAGGCCGACCCAUUGACGCAAACCUAAAAGAAGAAAUAAGGUGGAGAUAGCGCUACUAGCCACCUACUCCACGUCAGGCUCGUGAUCAACUAGUACGGCGCGACCUAGUUGAACUAGAAGAGUCGGGUUUUCACUAGUUUUCCGGGUUUUGAAAAGUGCCGCAUGAUCAACUAGUAGUGCGCGAAUAACUACAAGAAAAGAUCCUUUUUUGUUUUCUCUGUAUUUCUUUUUCUUUUGGUUUUCUUAUUUCUUCAUCGGUUUUCUAUUUUCCCAUGUUAUUCUUUGUUUUUUAUUUUUUUUCCUUUCUCUCUCUCUCUCUCUCUCUCUCUCUCUCUUUGUUUCUUUCAUUCAUUAUUUUAUUCUUUUUUAUUCUCAUUUUUCUUUUUUUUCUUUCGUUUUUUGUUUUCUUUAGUAGUUUUCAAUUUAUUUUGUUUUCCUUUGUUUUUAUUGGUUUCCACAGUUUUGAANNNNNNNNNNNNNNNNNNNNNNNNNNNNNNNNNNNNNNNNNNNNNNNNNNNNNNNNNNNNNNNNNNNNNNNNNNNNNNNNNNNNNNNNNNNNNNNNNNNNNNNNNNNNNNNNNNNNNNNNNNNNNNNNNNNNNNNNNNNNNNNNNNNNNNNNNNNNNNNNNNNNNNNNNNNNNNNNNNNNNNNNNNNNNNNNNNNNNNNNNNNNNUGAAUACAUGGUCAACAUUUUUAACAUUUUCCAAAUUCUUGAUUGAUAUUUUUGAAAUUCAAGAAUAACAAUUUCUGAAUACCCGGUCAAUAUUUUUCAUAUACAUAUCUUUUAAACAUUUUCAAAUGCUUGAUUAACAUUUUUUGAAACAAGAUUCACAUUUUCAAAUAUUUAUUCAACAUUUUUACAAAUGCUUGAUUAACUUUUUUAUAAACAUGAUCAAAAUUUUCAAUCAUCUUUUAAUACAUGGUCAACAUUUUUUGUACACUCUUUUAACAUUUUUCAUAUACUUGUUCAAUUUUUUUAAAAAUGAUUAAUUAACAUUUUCAUAUACAUCAUCAUAAAAAAUUAUUAUUUUUUAUAUACUUUUAAAACGUGGUCAACAUUUUAUCUAUAAAUAUGUUUAACAUUUUUCAAAUGCUUGAUUAAAAUUUUCAAACAAAUUUUGCAUAUUUUUUCAAAUGCUUGAUUAUCAUUUUAAAAAUAGAUGAUAAAAAAAUUUCAUCAUUUCUGUAAUACAUGAUCAACAAUUUUCUAUAGCCAUUCGGCAUUUUCCUAGUGGUUGAUUAACAUUUUUCAAAUACUUGUUCAAUAUUUCUUAUUACAUGAUCAAAAAUAUUUUGAUACAAAAUCAAUAUUUUCUGAAUUCUUAAUUAAUUUUUUGAAAUACUUGUUAAAUAUUUUUUAAAUACUUGUUGAACAUUUUUCUCAAAAUUUUUUUAUUGAGUGUUUUGCGUAAUAUAUAUAUUUAGAAUAUUUUAGAGUAUCAAUAAAAGUACGCAAUCAAGCAUAAAACGAAAAGAUAAAAAGUAAAGAAAAAGAGAAAAAGAGGCUGUGGCCUCCCGCGCGCGUGAGCUGGCCCAUAUUGCUCGUCCCUUCAGCGGCGGAAGCUCGAGUCAGUGAAGGCGAGAAUUUUUUUUUUGAGACAAGUGAAGGCGAGAUAUAUGGGCACCUGUGCUGUGCUCAAGCCUUGCCAUGGUUUCGAGAGUGGGCCGGCUCAUAUCACGUGUUCUCUUGCACCGCUCUUGCAAAUGGAUAUGAAAAAAAAGUAUUUCUCAAAAAAUAAGAAGAAAAAAACAAAGUAUUUCUCAAAAAAAACAAAGUCUGUGAUUUUUUUGUCGUUUUCGUACGUUUUUCUACUGGGUUAUUGUCUGUUUCUUUUCUUUGCCAUUUUCUUUUUCAAUAUUUGCGAAAUUUUUUCAUAUCCAUGAAUAUUUUUUUCAAAUUCACAACUGUAUUUUGACCUGAUGUAUAUUUAUCAAUGUUUUAAUAUUUUAUACAUUUUGAAAUUCAGGAACAUAUUUUGAAUUUGUUAUUUGUUCAAUUCGUAAAAAAAUGAAAAUUUGAAUUUUUUUAACAAUUCGCUGAUAUUUUUCGAAAUCCAUAAUAGUUUGUUUUUUUACCAUUUUUUUAAAAAAAUCACAGACUUUGUUUCUACUAAAACAACGGACCAGUAGCAGCAGAAAAAGGGGAAAGAAAAGCAGCGUGCAGCGAGCUGAUCGGUGAGCAAACGACGCGAACUGACAAGUCUACUAGGCCGCGGCCUAUGCGCACACCGUGUGUGCGCGAUACCCGCAAGUUAUCUAUACUUAUAUUAUAUAUUAUUAUAUAUAUACUAUUAAAUUAUUAGUAUAUUAUAUAUUUAUAUAUAUAUUACUUCAUCUAUAAACUAAUAUAAGAGCGUUUAGAUCACUACUUUAAUAUUUUAAACGUUCUUAUAUUAGUUUACGGAGAGAGUAUUAAACAAUCAAACUAAUUCUUUUUUAAAGCCACCCCAAUGUACACAGCCUAAUUACCACUAUCAGAUUAGCCCCACUGUAUAAAUUCUAAUGGUUACAAUUAAUUUAAUCUCGAGCUAUGUGUGCAAUUAGCAAUUUUAUAGGACUGAACGCGCUCCACCCGCAGAGGAAUAUUCCACGCGCUUCGUCAACGCGCCUUUCCAAAUCGCAACAACCACGUCCAACUAAAAAAGAAACAAAUCGCAAUUACCAUGUUACCAGGCAGGCGUUCCUUCCCUCCCCUACCUCCUCCCCGUCUCUUCGCCGAUGGAGGGCGCCCCGGGGCGAAUCUAGGGCCAGCCCCAAGGAGGGCGACGGCGGGGCACCUGGUUCCUGUCAGCUUGGCGCAGGCGCGCGACGAGCGCUUGGUGCAGCGGCGCUGAGGCAUGGGCUACGGUGCGCAAGAGCGUCGCCGGCGCGAGUUAUUGCCUGGCUUAACGGUGAGGCUGGCAGGGCACCAUGAUGCGAUCUGACCACCCCCCGCCUUGCUUUCGCCGGAUGCGGCUUCUCUCCACUCCUCAUGCAUCCGCCAUGUCUGCCGAUUCGUCACACGCCCAUGGUAAUAUACUGACUCUUCCUUUCUUCAAUCAACAUUUUUUCUGUUCAGUGAAUUUUGGAGAAGAAGACGUUUCCAUUCGCAAUUGUAAUGCAUGGGAGAAGGAACUGAAGAACAAUACAUGAACUAAUCUCUGUAAAUUUCAUAUUACAUGACGACAGAUGCAUCAAUUUUUAGAUAAAAGUGAAACAAAUCCUACUUAAUUAAUAGAUGCAAAUUACAAGAUAGCAAGACAUGAACUACUUGAUGUGGAUAUGGACAGUAUUAUAGGAUGGACAGUGCAAAUCCUUUGCUUGACUUCCGCGUCCAAGCGAUAUAGGAUGUUCAACAAAUAACAUGACUGGAAUAAACUUUUGGCUCGCUGAACUUUUGAGACCUAACUUACAAAUUUAUAUAUAGUUUGGUAAUAUAUAGAAGAAAUGAACUUUUGGCUUGCUGAGCUUGGUGUUUCUUUUUGCAGCAUGAUGAUUUCAGAAGUACAAUCAAAUGGAAGGCUGGAGGAAGAUUUUUGAAAUGGCAAAGUCGCCAGCAAGGACAUGAGACAUGAGGUAAUAAUCAUUCUUCUAUGUGUUGCCAUCUGCUAUUAGAUUGUACUAUUCUCUUUGCAACAUGAUGAUUUCAGAAGUACAGUCUAUCGUGGUGUUUGUUUUGCUCUUGAGAUAUAUGAAAAUUGGACAUAUAUAUGCAGGUCUGACUUGUUUCUUCAUAGGGGACAAAGGUGUCCUCUUCAUAAUGGUCAGGGACAGAACUUCCAGCUUGACAUAUUUGGGUUUUAACUAUCUCUUUUGUUUUUUGCCUUCACUGUUAUUGCUUUUGUCAGAUAUCUUAUUUCUUAAAGUCAGACUCCAAUGUUUUGUUUUGGAUAUGCGCAUUUCAUAUUAGUCAAGACGUGCAUUGACCAUUGAUCCUUACUUUAGAGGCUUUAGUAAUUACCUCAGUUUUAUACGAUUAACAAGGUAUCAAUAUUCUUCUCCUUCAGCUAUGUAUAGUCAGGAUUCACAAGUAAGGAGAAGAGGCAAGAGGCUAUUGAUGGAAUCAUUUCUUUGUUGUUUGUCUUGUUUCGUGACAUUCAGUAGCAUCAUAAUUAGCAAAUUGUGAGUGAGUUUGCCUGCUUUGCUAUAUUCGGAAGUUCUCUACAUGCAGUGGUUACUGAUUGUGAGGGUCACUAUUUUUAUUUGGUACUUGGGUUGAUUUAGCUGAGAAUGAUUCACAUACUUGAAACUUUUUAUAUAGGACAUGAUAAUAGCAUGUUGGUUAGGGUAAGAAUAUCUUUACUGAUCCCUAUUUGGUUCAGUUGACAUCUUUUAGUACGAUGUAUGUGUAGCACAUCCUUAAAUAUCUGUAGCCUCGAUAUCAUCAGUCAACUAUGUGACGUGCACCUUCUGCUUGAGCAGAUGAACCAGCCACUGCCCUAGAUGUUGCGCCGUGCUCCAGUCCUGUUCUGCUGGUUCUAACCAAGCACAUCAAACCAAGACCGACUGCUCUAUUGUUGUGAUCGGGCAAUACAAUAUUGGUAUAUAUAUAUGCCUUAUAUAGUGCCUUUUUGCAUUACUUUUGUUAUAUCUGUGGACUGUGCACAUGAGUUUCUUCUUAUCUUUACUCAUUAAUUUUCAUUCUAUUUCAAGGUUGGUAGCUUCCCUCAUCUUGGUUCUUGUUUUAGGGUUCAAGCCGAGUGAAUAUUAUUUGUGAUCCAAAUGACNNNNNNNNNNNNNNNNNNNNNNNNNNNNNNNNNNNNNNNNNNNNNNNNNNNNNNNNNNNNNNNNNNNNNNNNNNNNNNNNNNNNNNNNNNNNNNNNNNNNNNNNNNNNNNNNNNNNNNNNNNNNNNNNNNNNNNNNNNNNNNNNNNNNNNNNNNNNNNNNNNNNNNNNNNNNNNNNNNNNNNNNNNNNNNNNNNNNNNNNNNNNNNNNNNNNNNNNNNNNNNNNNNNNNNNNNNNNNNNNNNNNNNNNNNNNNNNNNNNNNNNNNNNNNNNNNNNNNNNNNNNNNNNNNNNNNNNNNNNNNNNNNNNNNNNNNNNNNNNNNNNNNNNNNNNNNNNNNNNNNNNNNNNNNNNNNNNNNNNNNNNNNNNNNNNNNNNNNNNNNNNNNNNNNNNNNNNNNNNNNNNNNNNNNNNNNNNNNNNNNNNNNNNNNNNNNNNNNNNNNNNUGAUGGGUUAAUAUAUUUGCUGUACAGUGUCGAUGAUGCUCUAGGACACCUCCCACAUUAGUUCUCUACUGCAAUCAUUCAACCACCCGACUAGACGGACGUCUUUGUGCUCUCCCACCAUUAUUUAACCUGAUAAAGUCACCCAUAAGCACAGUAUGCCCCAACUUUUUUUCUUUUUCCAAAUUCAUUAAAUUUGGAUUAUCGGUUGUCCUUUACUGCUAUCAAUCCAUGGCAAGAAGUAAUGCAACUAAACUACUUCUCCGAGUUUGGUGGGCAGUAAAUCAAUAGGAUUAUUGCCGCAUAGUUGAUUAUCUGAUGUAAUAGUGUGUUUAUGGUCAGAUAAUUCUCGCACUGGUUAUUUGAAUAAUAAAUGUAGAAUUUGGCGUGUUAUGUACCUCAUCGAGCAAGUACUUGUUCUUGAUAUGCCACCCAUAUAUAUUUUAAGUUAGUUGUUUUAGUUGGACUGAUAAUUUGGUAAUGCAGACAAAACACAUAAUGAUUGGGUACAUUGAAAAGCAUUUUCAAAAGGCAUAGGGUGAUUUACUUCAUGUUAGCAGUAAAAUAACCUUUCACUGUCAUGAUGUCAUCAGUUUACAAAGUGUGCAACCUGCCCUGCAUGCUAAUGUCUCGGUUUUUGUGUGCUACUAUGUUUACUGUCUACGUUGGCGAUGAGGCAGGGAAGGUAAGUGGGGCUAACCUGCUGGCCGGAGUAAAAAUAAUGUCCAAGUUUUUCAUUAAUGUUUGAGGGCGUAUGGUCUUGAUGCUGCUUAAGCUUGGCAUAUGGCUAUCAAUGUAGGUGUUUCUUGAGUCGUUGUCAUCUUCUUCGCCACCGGUUUGGUAACCAUCUCGGCUUCCUUCUCUGCUCCUGCAUAUGUGUCAUGUUUGUAACGAGAAAUGGAGAGCAGGUUAGAGAAGUUAGUAAUUAUUGAUAAUAAUAAUGUGAUGCAGAAAUGCAUGUUAGCUACACAGCUGUUCCCAGUAAGGAAUUAUUUUACAAUAGAAAUGCAUAUAUUGUGGAUUCAUGACUAAACAAGUUUGCAUGCACAUCCCUGAAAAUACAGCAGAGCCUUCAAUCUUGAAGAGUUAUGAAUUCUUCAGGUGUUGCUUUGGAAAUGAAUGUCAUUUGAAUGCUUGCUUAAUGUAGGUGUAUAUGUAAGAUCUGAAACUGAUCAAUACUAUUUCUAAUAUGAAAUUUGGGCAUAUAAGUGGCUCUUAAUUAUAUAUAGAAUUAAAAAUGAAUGUACGGUAGCAGCAUAUGUUCAGGUUGAGGGUACGAAACGACGUGCGUUUCACAUAUAUAAUUGUAAUAUUAGUUGAGAUGUGUGUUGCACGUGCACAUUUACUAGUAGUGCUUAAUAGUGCUUAAAGAGCUGUAGAGGAGCUCUGGCACUGUGCUGCCACUUGGUUUCGGGUUUCCUCUUCGGUGUGUGCCGGAACUGGAAGGUAACACUAGUCAUAGUCGAAAAUGCAAUGGCGUGUUCCUGCUUGCCUGCACACGUUAUCGCGAGGCGUCCAUUCUUGGCGGGAUGCCGGACAGCCGCGGUAUUUCAGGGAUGCAUACGCCGAUCAUUUAAAGUCCAUAAGCUGGACGGAAGAGCCAACGUCUACGGUGCGUGCAGACGGACAAGUAAAGGCCCAGAGAUGGCGUUUGGACACUGUACCAACGAUGGGAUUUGGCAUUAACUACAAUUUAUUUAUUUUCUAUUGUUUGCUAACAACUUCUUCCUAAAUCUAGGAAUGAUUAAUUAAGCCAUUUUAUUUGUUUCCAAUUGCGAGGAUCAAUGCUUCUGAACCAAGACAAUUACUUCCGAAAAAGAUUUGCUUCAUACGAACCGGGAUCAUUUGCUUCCUAUAAUUUUCUUCGCUUCCUAAGAGGUAGUCGUGUGGAAUUUUUUUGUUUGCUUCAUGCACUCUAUUUUACUAAACAAGAACGUUGGUUUCCAAAAAACAUUUUGCUUGGUACGAACCGGGAUUGUUGCUUCUUACAAAAAAAUUGGUACGAACCGGGAUUGUUUGCUUCAUAAAAUUUUCUUUGCCUCCUAAAAAGCUUUCAGUCGUGAGGAUUAUUUUUGUUUGCUUCGUACGCUGUUUUCAAUCGUGGAGCUCCUUGCUUGAAAAACUUCAGUUUGGUUUAUUUUUUGUUUUUGACUGUCCUUGCAGUUCCAACAACUUCAGUUUUAAAAAUAUGUUCCAUGCGACCAGAGGAUUGUUUUCAAGUGCUUGCUCCAACAGAAUUAAAAUUUAUUUCCAUCAGACAUUAGUAAAUUAGAACUUGCUUCAGAAGAAAAUACAGUUUGCUUCAAAGGAAUUCUGAAUUUGCUUCCAUAAGUUGCUUCGAACAACAUGAAUGGAUUAUAUGUUUUUGUCAUCUCUACACAAUACAAGUCACAACCGAGAGAGGUCGCGCAUCCUUCCAUGUCCAGAUUGUCUAAGCAUUUUUCACUCUCUCCCAUACUGAUUGGUGGUCCAACUUGACUUUGAUGGCAAAAGGAAGAGUAGAACCAUCGAAUUCAAAAAAUGUUCAUGAUUUUAUAGAAUGUUUGAAAAUCUGUAAAAAUGUUCACGAAUUUGAAAAAUGUUCACAGUUUCAGAUAUGUCCACGAGUUAAAAAAAUCAUGGUUUUCAAAAAUUGUUCAUGAUUUCACGAAAAUGAGAGUGAUAGUGUAUCUUGGUGAUGCAGAAAAAUGUGGUCAUGGCCAUUGAACAUUAUGAUUUUUAUUCUUCCGUCGCAAUGCACGGGCCGUUUUGCUAUAACUACAAAAGAACGACAAAUUUGGAGUGUCGGAUUUUCGUUACAUCGAUGACGAAGGAAUGGUCUGGAGUCUUAACAAAUUAUAGAAACAAAGCGUCUCCCACUAGGUGUCAUUAGCGAAUUGAGGUAUUUAUGUAGCUCAUACGCACUAUACCUGUAGGUUAAGUUUGCAUUGUGCGAUGUGUGUAUUUAGCAGUCACUAGUAAGCGUGCACGUGCAACGCACGUAUCAUAAUCUAUAACCACUACAUCUACUUUUUAGUUAUUUAUUUACUGAGUCAUUUAAGAUAUCUUUCAUAAAGUAUUCCAUGAAAUUUAACAUCUAGAGAGCACAAGAUGACCUGCACGAUUAAGAAAUUUGAUAGGUUCACUAACAGAUCAAUAAAAAUCUGAAUACUUUUAUAAAAUUAUCAAUAUGGUCAGAAGUGAACGUUUAUUUAAACCAUUGUGUCUGUGUUAAAAGAAUCAAGCCACACAGCCAAAUCGGACAUGUCCAGAAAAAAUGAAACUGGACAACGUCCACCACUAAAUAUAGACAAAAUGACCAAAAGGGUAAUUGAUAAACAAAAAUUGGACAACGCCCUAUAUUUAUUUUGAAACUGCUUUGUGGACGAAACUACACACAUGAAAUACAGCAACACACAUACCCAACGGAUGGACUGGUGCUGCUGCCGUGCAUGGAUGGUGUGAUCUUUAGAGCAUUUAUAGUCGGGCACCCAAAACCCCUCUAAAAUGCCCGGACGGCCACUUGGUCACUGAUCGGUCACAAAAUUUUGACCCAGCCGGGCGCCUUAAACAGGGCUCAAACGUCUGGGCUGACCGGCAUCCCACAUAUCCAACCCAAAUAUGGGGCGGAUAUGGGGGCUCCGGGCGCGCCCACCACAUCGGACUGACGGAGGGGUCCCAUGCGGAUUUCACAGUAGAAACCCGGCAGUCCGAAACUCGUCUCCUCCGUUGGACCGAUGGCGCUGCAUGGCUCCACUCCGGCGGGCCGCGUAGUGCCUACCCCGACUAUUUAAGUCGACCGGCGACCCCCAACCCUAGCCCAUCCACCUCGUCCCUCACCCGAGUCCUUCCGCGUCCUCUCACACGCUCUUCGGUAUCGCCAUGGUCCGACGCAAGAUCACGACGUACGUUAUGCUGAUGCGGACCGCCGGAGGCAGAUCGCGGAGGAGAUCUUCGCCCGCAUUGCUGUCGGGCUGCCUCCAGACUCAUCAGAGGAACAGGAGGAGGAGGAGCAGUAGGAGCCGAAGGAGGAGGGAGAGAAGCUACCGGAGCCGAUGGAACUGGCGGAUCUGGAGGAGGAGGAGGAGGCGGAGCAACCUGCUCCAGGGUUCGACAUGGCGGAGACGGAGUUCGCCAUCGCCCAAGCCGUUGAGAUGGCGGAGCAGCAUGCCAACCCGGAGUCCAUCUAGGAUGAGGCCUAUGUAGAGGCCAACUGGAACUUCCUCCGACAGGAGCAAGCAGCGUCUGACGCGUUCUUCACCGAACUUGACAGGGAGAUAGAGGAGGAGGCCGGAGCGGAGUAGCUGGAGGCGUCGGAGCUGGAGCUGCCGCCAAUGUAUCCGGAGCCGGGCACGGAGAUUGCCGACAUGACGAGUAGUAGCUAGAUCAUCUACGUAGUACGUAGGUUUCUAGUUUGCAUGCUUUUGUAUGGAUUUGAUAAUGUAGUAUGCGAUGACUGAAUGUAAUUGUGUUAAUUUGAAGGGUAACUGUUUAGUGUCCGCGGAUGCUUUCGGGUCUGUCACAGAAAACAUUUUUCACUCUCUCUGUCAGGACCCCGAUUCUAAGUCACAUCGAUCUAGCCUGUAACACCUCAUAUCACUUUGCGGCCUCACGCACGGUAUUCCCACGGGUGUCGCCUUACCAUGGCCCGGGACCGUUUGCGCCUUUUGGCUCACGUAUAUGAUAGUGUCGCUAGCAUCCAUAUGACAGAGAAUCCGGGCUGACAUGACUAGUCGUGAACCCAAAGUGGCACUAACUUACGGGGACAGGCAUACAUGAAUCAACAUCGAGCAUGUCGGUCAGCAACGUGCGAAUCUGGGCUAUAGCACUGGGCUAACAGGAUUCCGGUGAACCAGGCUGUAGCAGACUAGGCAGGAGUCCGGAUGUCACCGCGUGACAUUUCCCCGAAGGGACAGACAUAGGAACGAAGUGAAUCACAUGCCGGCCAGUCAAGUGUUCCGGAGCAGUAGUGCUGGGCUAGCAGGACUCCGGUGAACCGGGCUAUAGUGGACUACUAUGGCUUAUGGAAGCACAAGACUACAUUUCCCCAUAAGAGCGGCUACCAAGGAUAAACAACUAGGUUGUCGGAUCCCACACAUACCAAGCAUUUCAAUCAUAUACACAAUAUGCUCGAUAUGUGGGAAUACAACAUGGCAUCACAACAUAACUCUACGACUCAAGUAUUUAUUCAUUAGGCUCCGAAGAGCCAGAUAUUACAGACAUGGGUCUCAUGACCCAACAUUCAGAGCAUACCAGACAAAGCACAUGCGGAAGCUUAACAUGUCUGAGUACAGACUUCUACAAAUGAAAAAGGCUGAGAAGCCUGACUAUCUACAAGACCCUGCCGAGGGCACAAGAUCGUAGCUGAGGUAACAAGCUAAACGUCGAAGUCCACGUGGAACUACUAGCGAGACUGACGUCUGUCUGCAAAAAACAUAAAAUAGGCAAACAUGAGUACAAAUGUACCCAUCAAGACUUAACAUCAGAACUGACUACAUAUGCAUCGGUAUCAACAAAGAGGGGUAGUGGAGUUUAAUUGCAGCAAGCCAGCUUUGACUAAGUGGCUAACCUGAACUAUGACUGCAAGCAACUCUUUUGAGGUGGCGCACACGAGUAAACAUAUUCACCAUACCAAUACACCACUAUGGAUCCGCCCCCGUCUCCCUGCGAGAACACCAUCCAUAGCACUCACACUUAUCUUGCGCAUUUUAGAGUAUCUACUUUCACUUGUCUAUGAACUAUGCAAGGGGUCCAAGUAUCCAUAUCCGAGGAAUCCAGCUAUUCGAAUAGAUAAUGAUAACCCUGCAGGGGUGUACUUCUUCACACACGCUCUCGCCACUUACCACCAUGUACACAUCGUGUAUCUCGGCAACCUUCAAGCGGAAUCCUGGCGAGGGAGUCGGCCAUGACCUGACUAACCGACAAGUCUCUAGUCCAGGUUCAUCGCCUAUUCGGGUUCCAUCCGCAAGGAGAUUCGGCCGGGGUGUCGCUCACGGCCCCAAACGAUGUGAGCAGGGUUCCCAAGCCCACCAUCUGGGUGCCACUUGGUACACCGUGCCACUGUGCCUAGUCUGUCCCAAGCCCACCUGUACCGGGUGCCACUUGGUAGACUACUUACACUACCUACAAACACCAGAAACUAGUUGCAACUCCUGGACAGAGAUCAGGUUGAUUAAUAAGUUGAGAGGGGCACUUAAGCAUUCCAAUGUGUGGUAGUAACAGUUCAUGGAUCACCAAACACAGAACUCAGUUCCUGAGGACGGCUGCAAUGAGACAACCCACCAUGUACUCCUACAUGGCCUCUCACCGCUACCUUUACCAAAUCGUGUUCACACACUUAGCUCACACACAGUAGGACAUGUUCAUCACCAUUCCAAUUCAUCCCCGAUGAAUCAGACCUGACUCAACUCUAAGCAGUAGCAGGCAUGACUAACAAACAUGAAUGAGUAGGCACACCAGGGCUCAAACAAUUCCUACUCAUGCUAGUGGGUUUCAUCUAUUUACUGUGGCAAUGACAGGUCAUGCAGGGAAAAAGGGUUCAGCUACCGCAGCAUGUAACCGUUGAAACGUUGUUGUCCUAAUGCAGUAAAAGAGAGCAGGAGCGAGAGAGUGGGAUUGUAUCGGAAUGAACAAGGGGGUUUUGCUUGCCUGGCACUUCUAAAGAUAGUAUAGCUCUUCAUCGGUGUCAUCGAAUUCAUCGCUGGAUCAACGUCUACUGAGGGGGGACAAAGACCGGCAACUGAGAAAGAGCACAAUCAACACAUGACGAUAUCCAACAAUAUGAUGCAUGCUAUGACAUGGCAAUAUGAAUGUGUUUUUGGCUAAUGCAAGCUAGAACAUAUUGGAAUGAGUCCAUUUGAACCAAAGAUUCAAAUGCAAACCCAUUUUAUGAAGUCAUAUUAGUGCAUUAACUUUUUUCACCUAAAGAGUAAGGUUAAAGUGUUCUAACAUGCAUGAAACUAGUACAGAUGAAAAUAUUGGAUUUUUCUGAUCAUUUUUCAUAUAUAAAUUAUUUCAUUCUGAGCUAUGGUUGAAUUUCUAUGAUUUUUAGAAGUUUGGGGUAUUUUCUGAAAUUUAUAAAUCAUUUCUGAUUUAUUUUAAUUCCAGAAAACUUUACUGCGUCAACAUUAAGUCAUGCUGGCAUCAGCUGGUCAACAGGACCGUCUAGGUCAAACCUGACAGGUGUGGCCCACCUGUCAUUGACUCAGUGCUAACCAGGGUUUAGUUAAAUCCUAACUAAAGUAAUUAGAAGGGAUGGGGCCCACAGUCAGCGAGUUAGUGGGUUAUCUAAAAUUUAAUUAGCAUCUAAACUAAAUUAUCAGGGCCUCGGGCCCACAUGUUAAUGACCCAGAGGGGUCAAACCCUGGUCAACCCGGGUCAAACUCGCCGGAGUUGACCCGGCGCUCAUCGCCGGCAAGGCCAGAGACGACGGAGGGGCUCGGGAUUCCUCCUCCGGUGACCAAAUGGCCGACGGAGGGCACCUACGCGGAGCUGGGACUCGCUCGCAUCCAUCUGUGCAAACGGCAGGGGCUGAGGUGGCUCGAGCUCGCCGAAGGCAAGCUCGCGGCAGUGGCCGGAGUUCGGGUGUGGACAUGGUCGACGCUACGGGGCGCUAGGGGGAUAAACUGGCAGGUGCUACGCACUCUUGGGGGUUCACCGAGCACGGUGACGUGCUUAGGCGCGGGCUGCGCUGGCCCUGGCCACAGCGGUGAAGAACCAUGGCAGUGGUGAGGUUUCGGCUCCGGUGGACAGCAGGGAGAGAGGGGUUCGGUAGAGGAGCUCACGGCGGGGUCAUCGGUGAUCUCAGCGUGCUCGGGGAUGGCAUGGUGAUGACGAAUCGGUCGACGACGGCCGUCGGUGCAGAGGGCGAAGAUGGCGUCGACGACGGCGCUCCAGGGCGUUCGAAGUCAUGUGGCUCGGCGGAGAGGACCGGGGCGUCACGGUGGAGCUCGGGGGCGCGUCGGAGAGGCUCGGAGAUGGCUGUGGCCGUGGGGGAGCUCGUCGGCGGCGACGGCUUCGUUCGGUCGCGCUCGUGGAAGGAACUAGAGGGCGAAGGAGAGAGCAGAGAGUGAGGGAGAGGAGAGAGGGGAUUCCAGGGGGGGUGCGUGGCAUCGUAUGGAGUCGUCCAGGGCGUCGGCAGAAGCAGGAGGUGGCCGGCGUGCGAUGGGCACACGCCCUCUGCCUACUGGUAGAGGUGGAAGAAGACCUCGGCGCCCUUGGUGGGCUGGGCCAAUUCUCUCCUGGGCCAGGUUAGUAGGUAAGAUUCUGCUCUAUUUUAUUUUUCUGUUCUGUUUUCUUUUCUAUUUUUGCUAUUAUGUUUUGAUUUAGUUCAAAGACCAAACCAUUUUCAAAAUCCAUGAAAAUAAUUGUGUGAACUAAAUGGACUUCUCCAAAGCUACACAACAAUUUUCAGAAUUAUUGAACAUAUAUUAAUUAUAUAAUAAAUAUAAAUCCAAUUCAAAUAGUUAUUGAAUUAAUUUCAAAUGCCCAAAAUAAAUAUUUCUAAAACUCCAAAAAUAUUGGUUUGAAUUUUACCUCUUGCCAAUAUUUUUACGAAUAACAGGAAUAUUUCCUUGGACUCAUUUGAAAAUAUUUUUAACAUUGAUUAUUUCUGAAGUGAUUUCUGAGGGUUUCAACUAACCUCAAUUCAACUUUCAGAAUUUAGACAUGAUGCAUGGAUGCUCUCUUAUGCAACUAUUGCAAACAAUUCUAGGGAUGUGACAACCCACCCCCACUAAACAAGAAUCUCAUCCCGACAUUCAAGAUGUGAAGUAAGAAGACAGAGGGGUCACAAAACUAUCACAGUCUUCUUGAUCCAACUGCCCUUCUCAAAGAUACCAAUACAUUGCAUCUCAUUGAUCUUGACGUCUUUGAUUUCGAGAUCUUCAUCCAACACGAUGAUGACGGAAGGAAACUCUACAUGAAACGAUCUUCUCAAAGAUCGAGCAACUCAAGAUCAACUCAUGGAGUGAGACAUUGAAACAUCUCUUGAGCUGAGACACAAAACACACAUCGAGAGAGAUGGGAGGUAAUAGAGGACAAAGGUUCAAAUUGGUAGGCAACAAUUCCACGCUGGAGUAGGAUGGUGCAUGGUUUCAAGUAGCGAGGAGGUAAUUGCCAUGAUUCCAUAACGGGACACCUUAGGGAAAGGUGACUCGUAGAGCUAUUCCCUUAAGUGGCAAAAAGAAUUACUUUUGAUACAAAGAUCAUUGAAACUCUUUAUACCAGCCUGAGGUAAUCACAGUCGAUCAUUGGAAGGGGUACGAAAGAAUGGCAUACUCUGGCUAGGAUGGAUGAUGUGGACUACCUUGUUGAAGACAACGUAAUGGAUGAUUUUGCUUAUCAUCGGAGAUGGAUGGGACCCAUGGUAAGCCCACUUUUGAAAAUGAUCCUGGACAACAAAAAUGCAAAUGCUGGGAAUGACCCAACCAUCAUACCUGCCCGAGAUUCAGAUCUGGUUGGUAACAGGAUAUUUCAGACAACAUGUCUGGAAAAGAAAGGUAGCAACACAAAUCGACGGGAUGGCGUUGCGAGAUUCUCGAGAAUGAACUACGAUAGCAAGCUCCAAAACAUGAGCUGGUUCUGCUACAAACAUGUGAACACGCUGUCCCAGACAAGCAUGAUCACGUAGUAGUCUUAUAAUAAAACAGUACCGAGUUCAGGUGGGGAACCAUCUUCAAGGAUAUUGGAAUUCUGUGCAUGAACUAGUAUUCGCAUAGCAAGUCCUUUUCCUCGAACAAACUAGUCAGUGGCUUGGUGUGCUAGGAACACAUAUGGAGUGGAGGCGGCCAACCUAUCAAACCAUAUAGCACCUUGCACGUGCAUGACUAACUUGGGAUGGUUCCAAAGGAGGCAGAAACAAACUUUCCCGAGUUCAUGGCGGCAACUUGCAUCAUAUGCACAUGAAUUAGAGGAAGUCACUUCUUUCAUCCAACAUAUGCUUCAUGAAUAGGACAUGGAGAUAAUGCUUAUAAAAGUUUCCAACACUAACAUAGAUGUCCAACAUGAAUCAUGGGUAAAAUGGAAAUAUUGCUGAUGGGAUCAACAACAGGUCAUCCAGAUUUCCAUGAAGAUGGAAUUCCACAACUAUGUGAACAAAGCGAUAGCAUUGGUCAGACCCAAAGGAUAUAAUGGUGUAUGCUCGAGGAAACAACCACGAGUAAGACAACAUUACGAAUAUCGUUGGUUCUGAUUUGAUCUGACGAUAGCCCACACUCAAAUCAAGGUUUGGAUAAGAUGAUAGGUCCAUUAACUGAUCACGAGGAUCAAUCGAUGAAAUACCAUCUUUCUUCAACACAGAUACAAGAUAUCCCUUAGGGAUGAGCUAGGUCGGACAAGCUUUUAUCUUCCAACUCUCCAAGUUGUUGUCUAGCUUAACCAACAAGCUCAAGGGUAUGCAACACAGAUUCCUGGAGAAGGAUUGGUUACAAGAAACCAACUUGACCACGAGCUCAACAUAGCGGUCAGGGGAUAACCUGGAAAUACUUCCGAGAAGAUAUUCGGAAAAUCACGAACCACCGACAUGUUACUAAGCUCGAGAUCAAUCUUGCUCUUUAGGCAAGAUUAUAUGAUCAAAUAAGCAAGGAUAGACAUAAUCCCAACUCUUGAUCGAAGAGUGCACCAGGAAAAUGGACUAGGUAGCACGAUCAAUCUUAGAUUGAUGAUUCCAUAAUCAACACACCAAGAAUGAGAUUAUCGUCCAUUAACCACCAAGCAACGGGGUUGCUAGGAGUAUUGAUUUCACAAUCACGGUUCACUUGUCGGUAUUCCGGUUGUAACAACACGGAACCGAGGAACGAAUGAUGAUGGCGAGAAGUAUCACUGCAUCAAGAAUUCAUAAGAGUUGGUGCAAUUCUCAUGACAUUCCUGACAUCAAGAGGGCAAUACUUCAGGGUAGAACAGAAUCAAAAGCUGGAUUGGCAUUUUGACCUGCGGAAUACAACUUCUUUGACCCAAUCCUAAAUAUGGAUGAGGUACUGGAGUUUGUUUCUCCUAGUCAUUCCAGAAUAGAAUGGCUUGACAGACCACAAGAAUAAGAGGUAUCGAUGAGCAUGAAUGCAAGACAUGCUCUUAACUAUCAAGUGAUAGACGGAGAUCAAGAUACAACUAAAGAGAGGGACAACUCAAAGGAACGUAUUAACUUUCUGAGUUGUGGAUGCCUAGAUUAGUGUGUCGAACCAAGUUCAACAUAUUUCUUCCGGAUAAUCCAUGCAAAGAAGGUAGAACUAGCAAAGUCACAUCAUAGAAUCGAGAACUCGUCAAGAGCACUCUUAUUGUGAUCUUUUGGUUCAACGACUUCCGCCAAGGAUGGUUCAUGGUAUUAGGAAGAAUGAUAUAUCACGGACCUCGAGGACUAUCACAAGGUUACUAAUAUCCAAAAGGAACUAGCAAACAAUAUCAACAAGAAGUAAGUAGGGUGGAUCUCGGGUUCAAGAACCCAGGUAUAGAAUACCUACUACUAAGUAGCAUCACGGGAUGCUCUCGAGAAUGGUGGCCAGAAUCAUCACACUGGGAACACAAAACAUGGCUAGAUUACUAGGUGACUCCCUAAAACACCUAGGGUCAUAAUAAUAGCUCCAACAUAUAUGUUGAGGCAACAGAGUACCUCAACUCACCGAUUAGUAUGAUUAAUCUGGCCCAAAUGGACAUCAGGAACAUGGAGGAAUGAUUGCAAGUGCAUCAGACUAUCUAGAAACCUGGGAUGACUCGGAUAGCAUAACAGCUGUAAAUGCCAAAAAUGAUUUGAGACAUCCUGCAAAAAUGGUGGUAUAACCACUCAACAACACAAUAUCAAGGUUCUGAGGCCAGCUAUGAACAUAUGGAAGUAGUAGGAACUGAACUGAGGCUUGAACUCAACAAUCCUAGGCAACUACGGUUUAGUAACACGUCAUCAUGAGAGAUAGAGGAGAAGCCUAGUUCUUAACCCCGUAGAAAAGAUAAGAUGACUCAAAUCAGAAGGUCAUGAGGAUAAGGAGUAAAAGAGCCUUACGUUCCCUUCCACAAUCAAUUCCCUUACAUAACUAAAGCAUUUCUAGACUCGACUUCGAUCGAUUUGUCUUGGUAAUCCUACAGGCAGUAAGACUCUGAUACCAAAGCUGUCAGGACCCCGAUUUUAAGUCACACCGAUCUAGCCUGUAACACCUCAUAUCACUUUGCGGCCUCACGCACGGUAUUCCCACGGGUGUCGCCUUACCAUGGCCCGGGACCGUUUGCGCCUUUUGGCUCACGUAUAUGAUAGUGUCGCUAGCAUCCAUAUGACAGAGAAUCCUUGCCAACAUGACUAGUCGUGAACCCAAAGUGGCACUAACUUACGGGGACAUGCAUACAUGAAUCAACAUCGAGCAUGUCGGUCAGCAGCGUGCGAAUCCGGGCUGUAGCACUAGGCUAACAGGACUCCGGUGAACCGGGCUGUAGCAGGCUAGGCAGGACUCCGGAUGUCACCGCGUGACAUUUCCCUGAAGGGAUAAACACAGGAACAAAGUGAAUCACAUGCCGGCCAGUCAAGUGUUCCGGAGCAGUAGUGCUGGGCUAGCAGGAUGAUACGUCUCCAACGUAUCUAUAAUUUUUGAUUGCUCCAUGCUAUACUAUCUACUAUUUUGGAAUAUAUUGGGCUUUAUUUUCCACUUUUAUAUUAUUUUUGGGACUAACCUAUCAACCGGAGGCAACUUUCUCUAUCCACAAGAUCCCAUCUUGGGGCCUGUUCCGGAGCUCCGUCGGAAGAGGGCCGUCAUCACGGAGGGCUUCUACAUCAUCAUAGCCCCUCUGAUGAAGUGUAAGUAGUUUACCUCAGACCUUCGGGUCCAUAGUUAGUAGCUAGAUGGCUUCUUCUCUCUCUUUGAAUCUCAAUACAGAGUUCUCCCCCUCUCUUGUGGAGAUCUAUUCGAUGUAAUCUUCUUUUUGCGGUGUGUUUGUUGAGACCGAUGAAUUGUGGGUUUAUGAUCAAGUCUAUCUAUGAAUAAUAUUUGAAUCUUCUGUGAAUUCUUUUAUGCAUGAUUGGUUAUCUUUGCAGGUCUCUUCGAAUUAUCCGUUUGGUUUGGCCAACUAGAUUGGUAGUUCUUGCCAUGGGAGAAGUGCUUAGCUUUGGGUUCGAUCUUGCGGUGUCCUUACCCAGUGACAGAAGGGGCAGCAAGGCACGUAUUGUAUCGUUGCCAUCGAGGAUAACAAGAUGGGGUUUAUUUCAUAUUGCAUGAAUUUAUCUCUCUACAUCAUGUCAUCUUGCUUAAGGCGUUACUCUGUUUUUAACUUAAUACUCUAGAUGCAUGAUGGAUAGCGGUCGAUGAGUGGAGUAAUAGUUGUAGAUGCAGAAUCGUUUCGAUCUACUUGUCACGGACGUGAUGCCUAUAUACAUGAUCAUGCCUAGAUAUUCUCACAAUUAUGCACAAUUCUAUCAAUUGCUCAACAGUAAUUUGUUCACCCACCAUAGAAUACUUAUGCUCUUGAGAGAAGUCACUAGUGAAACCUAUGGCCCCCGGGUCUAUUCUCAUCAUAUCAAUCUUCAUCACUUUUAUAUUGUUUUGCUAUUUACUUUGCCUUUACUUUUUGCUUUGCAUCUUUAUAUCAAAAAUACCAAAAAUAUUCUAUCUAUCAGAUCUCACUCUCGUAAGUGACCGUGAAGGGCUUGACAACCCCUAAUCGCGUUGGUUGCGAGUAGCUUUCGCUUUGUGCAGGUACGAGGGACUUGAGCGUGGGCUCCUACUGGAUUGAUACCUUGGUUCUCAAAAACCGAGGGAAAUACUUACGCUACUCUGCUGCAUCAUCCCUUCCUCCUCGGGGAAAACCAACGCAAGCUCAAGACGUAGCAAGAAGGAUUUCUGGCGCCGUUGCCGGGGAGUCUACGCAAAAGUCAACAUACCAAGUACCCAUCACAAUCCCUAUCUCUCGCAUUACAUUAUUUGCCAUUUGCCUCUCGUUUUCCUCUCCCCCCAAUUCACCCUUGCCGUUUUAUUUGCCCUCUCUCUCUAUCCUCCCUCUCUGUUUGCCUCUUUUUGUCUGCUUGCUUUUUGUUUGCUCGUGUGUUAGAUUGCUUGUUUGUCGCGAUGUCUCAACCAAGAUUUGGUGAUCUUCACCUUAAAAGGUUAGAGGAGAUCGAAAACAACGUUAGGAACUUUAUGGUUUUGCAAUUGAGCAUAAUAAUUUCUUUAGAAACGAACUUAAAGAACAAAAAAGUUAUAUGAGUUAUAUGAAUAAAGAGCUUGAUGAUAUAUCUAAAGAAUUUGAGGGUAUAAGAUCCUAGACUGCUCGUCUAGAGAAGAUGACUACUGAAAUUUCGGAUAUGCAAUCCACCUUAGUCAAUAAGAUGGCCGCUAAACCGAAUACCUAUGAAAAUCAAGAUGAAGAUCUAAAAGUUAUUGAUGUGUCUCGUAUUACAUCUUUAUUUUGCAAUAUGAAUCUUGAUGAAACUGAAUAUGAUCUUCCUUUACCUAGAAGGUGUUCUAAAAAUUCGGAGUGUUUAGAUCUUAAUGAUGAAAUUGAUGAAAGUGGGAUGGAAAGAAAUAAAAAUCUAAAUGUUGCUAAACCCACUAUAUUGGAUUUCAAGGAAUUUAAUUAUGAAAAUUGCUCUUUGAUUGAUUGUAUUUCCUUGUUGCAAUCCGUGCUAAAUUCUCCACAUGCUUAUAGUGGAAAUAAAGCCUUCACCGAACAUAUUGUUGAUGCCUUGAUGAAAUCUUAUGAAGAAAAACUUGAGUUGAAAGUUUCUAUCCCUAGAAAACUCUAUGAUGAGUGGGAACCAAAUAUUAAAAUUAAAAUUAAAGAUCAUGAGUUUUAUGCUUUGUGUGAUUUGGGUGCUAGUGUCUCUACUAUUCCCAAGACUUUGUGUGAUUUACUAGAUUUCCGUAAUUUUGAUGAUUGCUCUCUAAACUUGCAUCUUGCGGAUUACACUAUUAAGAAACCUAUGGGAAGAAUUAAUGAUGUUCUUAUUGUUGCAAAUAGGAAUUAUGUGCCCAUAGAUUUCAUUGUUCUUGAUAUAGAUUGCAAUCCUUCUUGCCCUAUUAUUCUUGGUAGACCUUUCCUUAGAACGGUUGGUGCGAUUAUUGAUAUGAAGGAAGGGAAUAUUAGAUUUCAACUUCCAUUAAAAAAGGGCAUGGAACACGUUCCAAGAAAGAAAAUAAAAUUACCAUAUGAAACUAUCAUAAAAGCCACUUAUGGAUUGCCUACCAAAGAUGGCAAUACCUAGAUCUAUUCUUGCUUGUUAUGCCUAGCUAGGAGCAUUAAACGAUAGCGCUUGUUGGGAGGCAACCCAAUUUUAUUUUUGUUCCUUGCUUUUUGAUCCUGUCUAGUAAUAAAUAAAUUAUUUAGCUUCUGUUUUGGUUGUGUUUUUUGUGUUUAAUUAGCGUUUGUGCCAAGUAGAACCGUUGGGAAGACUUGGGGAAAGUCUUGUUGAACUUGCUGUAAAAAACAGAAACUUUAGCGCUCACGAGAACUGCUGUCAUUUUUAUUUGAAGAGUGCUAUUUAGUUAAAUAUUUUUGCAGAUGAUUAAUAGAUGAAUUCCUCACGUCCAGCAAUUUAUUUUAGAAGUUUUGGGGUUCCAGAUCUUGCGCUAGCUACAGACUACUACAGACUGUUCUGUUUUUGACAGAUUCUGUUUUUCGUGUGUUGUUUGCUUAUUUUGAUGAAUCUAUCGCUAGUAAAAUAGUUUAUAAUCCAUAGAGAAGUUGGAAUACAGUAGGUUUAACACCAAUAUAAAUAAAGAAUGAGUUCAUUACAGUACCUUGAAGUGGUCUUUUGUUUUCUUUCGCUAACGGAGCUCACGAGUUUUCUAUCUUGAGUUUUGUGUUGUGAAGUUUUCAAGUUUUGGGUGAAUUCUUUUGAUGGAUCAUGGAACAAGGAGUGGAAAGAUCCUAAGCUUGGGGAUGCCCAUGGCACCCCCAAGAUAAUCCAAGGACACCAAAAAGUCAAAGCUUGGGGAUGCCCCGGAAGGCAUCCUCUCUUUUUCGUCCACUUCCAUCGGUAAUUUACUUGGAGCUAUAUUUUUAUUCACCAACAUGAUAUGUGUUUUGCUCGGAGCAUCUUGUAUUAUUUGUGUAUUUGUCUGUUAGUAUGCCACAAUCAUCCUUGCUGUACACACCUUUUGAGAGAGCCAUACAUGAAUUAAAAUUUGAUAGAAUACUCUAUGUGCUUCACUUAUAUCUUUUGAGCUAGAUAAUUUUGCUCUAUGUGCUUCACUUCUAUCCUUUGAGCUAGAUAAUUUUGCUCUAUGUGCUUCACUUAUAUCCUUUGAGCUAGAUAGUUUUACUCUAUGUGCUUCACUUAUAUCUUUGGAGCUAGAUAAUUUUGCUCUAUGUGCUUCACUUAGAUCUUUUAGAGCACGGUGGUGGAUUCGUUUUAAAGAAACUAUUGAUCUCUCAUGCUUCACUUAAAUUAAUUUGAGAGUCUCUUAAUAGCAUGGUAAUUUGCCUAAUAAUAAUAUGCUUGGUAUUCAAGAUUUGUGAAACUUUCUUUUGAGUGUGUUGAAUACUAAGAAAAGAUUGAAGCAUGAUAAUUGUUUUGAGAUAUGGAGGUGAUAAUAUUAAAGUCAUGCUAGUUGAGUAGUUGUGAAUUUAAAGAAUACUUGUGUUGAAGUUUGUGAUUCCCGUAGCAUGCACGUAUGGUGAACCGUUAUGUGAUGAAGUCGGAGCAUGAUUUAUUUAUUGAUUGUCUUCCUUAUAAGUGGCGGUCGGGGACGAGCGAUGAUCUUUUCCUACCAAUCUAUCCUCCUAGGAGCAUGCGCGUAAUACUUUGCUUUGAUAACUUCUAAAUUUUUGCAAUAAGUAUAUGAGUUCUUUAUGACUAAUGUUGAAUCCAUGGAUUAUACACACUCUCACCCUUCCACCCUUGCUAGCCUCUCUAAUACCGCGCACCUUUCGCCGGUAUCAUACACCUACCAUAUACCUUCCUCAAAACAGCCACCAUACCUACCUAUUAUGGCAUUUCCAUAGCCAUUCCAAGAUAUAUUGUCAUGCAACUUUCCACCAUCUAGUUCAUCAUGACACAUCCAUCAUUGUCAUAUUGCUUAGCAUGAUCAUGUAGUUGACAUAGUAUUUGUGGCAAAGCCACCAUUCAUAAUUCUUUCAUACUUGUCACUCUUGAUUCAUUGCAUACCCCGGUACACCGCCGGAGGCAUUCAUAUAGAGUCAUACUUUGUUUUAUUAUCGAGUUGUAAUCAUUGAGUUGUAAAUAAAUAGAAGUGUGAUGAUCAUCAUUCAAUAGAGCAUUGUCCCAAAAAAAGAGAAAGGCCAAAAAAAAGAAGGCCCCCAAAAAAUAUAUAAAUAAAUAAAUAAGGGGCAAUGCUACUAUCCUUUUUUUCCACACUUGUGCUUCAAAGUAGCACCAUGAUAUAGCAAGUCUCAUAUAUUGUGCUUCAAAGUAGCACCAUGUUCUUCAUAUAGAGAGUCUCAUAUAUUGUCACUUUCAUAUACUAGUGGGAAUUUUACGUUAUAGAACUUGGCUUGUAUAUUCCAAUGAUGGGCUUCCUAAAAUUGCCCUAGGUCUCCGUGAGCAAGAAAGUUGGAUGCACACCCACUAGUUUCUUUAAUUGAGCUUUCAUACAUUUAUAUCUCUAGUGCAUCCAUUGCAUGGCAAUCCCUACUCACUCACAUUGAUAUCUAUUGAUGGGCAUCUCCAUAGCCCAUUGAUACGCCUAGUUGAUGUGAGACUAUCUUCUCCUUUUUGUCUUCUGCACAACCAGCAUUCUAUUCCACCUAUAGUGCUAUAUCCAUGGCUCACGCUCAUGUAUUGCGUGAAGAUUGAAAAAGUUUUGAAAAAGUUAGACUAUGAAAUAAUUGCUUGGCUUGUCAUCGGGGUUGUGCAUGAUUUAAAUACUUUGUGUGGGGAAGAUGGAGCAUAGCCAGACUAUAUGAUUUUGUAGGGAUAACUUUCUUUGGCCAUGUUAUUUUGAGAAGACAUAAAUUUCUUUGUUAGUAUGCUUGAAGUAUUAUUAUUUUCUAUGUCAAUAUAAAAUUUUGUCUUGAAUCUUUCUAAUCUGAAUAUUCAUACCACAAUUAAGAAGAUUUGCAUUGAAAUUAUGCCAAGUAGCACUCCGCAUCAAAAAUUCUCUUUUUAUCAUUUACCUACUCGAGGACGAGCAAGAAUUAAGCUUGGGGAUGCCUGAUACGUCUCCAACGUAUCUAUAAUUUUUGAUUGCUCCAUGCUAUAUUAUCUAUUGUUUUGGACUAUAUUGGGCUUUAUUUUCCACUUUUAUAUUAUUUUUGGGACUAACCUAUUAACAGGAGGCCCAGCCCACAAUUGUUGUUUUUUUGGGACUAACCUAUUAACUCGUCAAGAGCACUCUUAUUGUGAUCUUUUAGUUCAACGACUUCCGCCAAGGAUGGUUCAUGGUAUUAGGAAAAAUGAUAUAUCAAGGACCUCGAGGACUAUCACAAGGUUACUAAUAUCCAAAAGGAACUAGCAAACAAUAUCAACAAGAAGUAAGUAGGGUGGAUCUCGAGUUCAAGAACCCAGGAAUAGAAUACCUACUACUAAGUAGCAUCGCGGGAUGCUCUCGAGAAUGGUGGCCAGAAUCAUCACACUAGGAACACAAAACAUGGCUAGAUUACUAGGUGACUCCCUAAAACACCUAGGGUCAUAAUAAUAGCUCCAACAUAUAUGUCGAGGCAACAGAGUACCUCAACUCAUCGAUUAGUGUGAUUAAUCUGGCCCAAAUGGACAUCAGGAACAUGGAGGAAUGAUUUCAAGUGCAUCAGACUAUCUAGAAACCUGGGAUGACUCGGAUAGCAUAACGGCUGUAAAUGCCCAAAAUGAUUUGAGACAUCCUGCAAAAAUGGUGGUAUAACCACUCAACAUCACAAUAUCAAGGUUCUGGGGCCAGCUAUGAACAUAUGGAACUAGUAGGAACUGAACUGAGGCUUGAACUCAACAAUCCUUGGCAACUACGGUUUAGUAACACGUUAUGCUGAGAGAUAGAGCAGAAGCCUAGUUCUUAACCCCAUAGAAAAGAUAAGAUGACUCAGAUCAGAAGGUCAUGAGGAUAAGGAGUAAAAGAGCCUUACGUUCCCUUCCACAAUCAAUUCCCUUACAUAACUAAAGCAUUUCUAGACUCGACUUCGAUCGGUUUGUCUUGGUAAUCCUACAGGCAGUCAGACUCUGAUACCAAACCUGUCAGGACCCCGAUUCUAAGUCACACCGAUCUAGCAUGUAACACCUCAUAUCACUUUGCGGCCUCAUGCACGGUAUUCCCACGGGUGUCGCCUUACCAUGGCCCAGGACCGUUUGCGCCUUUUGGCUCACGUAUAUGAUAGUGUCGCUAGCAUCCAUAUGACAGAGAAUCCGGGCCAACAUGACUAGUCAUGAACCCAAAGUGGCACUAACUUAUGGGGACAUGCAUACAUGAAUCAACAUCGAGCAUGUCGGUCAGCAGCGUGCGAAUCCGGGCUGUAGCACUGGGAUAACAUGACUCCGGUGAACCGAGCUGUAGCAGGCUAGGCAGGACUUCGGAUGUCACCGCGUGACAUUUCCCCGAAGGGACAGACACAGGAUGAAGUGAAACACAUGCUGGCCAGUCAAGUGUUCCGGAGCAGUAGUGCUGGGCUAGCAGGAUGAUACGUCUCCAACGUAUCUAUAAUUUUUGAUUGCUCCAUGCUAUAUGAUCUACUGUUUUGGACUAUAUUGGGCUUUAUUUUCCACUUUUAUAUUUUUUUGGGACUAACCUAUCAACCGGAGGCCCAGCCCAGAAUUGCUGUUUUUUGCAUAUUUUCAGUGUUUGAGAUAAAAAAAUAUCAAAUGGAAUAAAAUCUUCGGAAACAUGAUUUUCUCACCGAACGUGAUCCAGGAGACUUGGACCCUACUACUAGAGAUCAAAGAGGUGGUCACGAGGGUGGGGGGGCGCCCCCCCCCCUUAGGGCACGCCCCCUGCCUUGUGGGCCCCUCGGUGCUCCACCGACGUACUCCUUCCUCCUAUAUAUACACACGUACCCCCAAACGAUCAGAAUAGGAGCCAAAAACCUAAUUCCACCGCCGCAACUUUCUUUAUCCACGAGAUCCCAUCUUGGGGCCUGUUCCGGAGCUCCGCCGGAAGAGGGCCGUCAUCACGGAGGGCUUCUACAUCAUCAUAGCCCCUCCGAUGAAGUGUGAGUAGUUUACCUUAGACCUUCGGGUCCAUAGUUAGUAGCUAGAUGGCUUCUUCUCUCUCUUUGAAUCUCAAUACAAAGUUCUCCCCCUCUCAUGUGGAGAUCUAUUCGAUGUAAUCUUCUUUUUGUGGUGUGUUUGUUGAGACCGAUGAAUUGUGGGUUUAUGAUCAAGUCUAUCUAUGAAUAAUAUUUGAAUCUUCUCUGAAUUCUUUUAUGCAUGAUUGGUUAUCUUUGCAAGUCUCUUCGAAUUAUCCGUUUGGUUUGGCCAACUAGAUUGGUAGUUCUUGCCAUGGGAGAAGUGCGUAGCUUUGGGUUCGAUCUUGCGGUGUCCUUACCCAGUGACAGAAGGAGCAGCAAGGCACGUAUUGUAUCGUUGCCAUUGAGGAUAACAAGAUGGGGUUUAUUUCAUAUUGCCUGAAUUUAUCUCUCUACAUCAUGUCAUCUUGCUUAAGGCAUUACUCUGUUUUUAACUUAAUACUCUAGAUGCAUGCUGGAUAGCGGUCGAUGAGUGGAGUAAUAGUAGUAGAUGCAUAAUCCUUUCGAUCUACUUGUCACGGACGUGAUGCCUAUAUACAUGAUCAUGCCUAGAUAUUCUCAUAAUUAUGCACAAUUCUAUCAAUUGCUCAACAGUAAUUUGUUCACCCACCAUAGAAUACUUAUGCUCUUGAGAGAAGUCACUAGUGAAACCUAUGGCCCCCGGGUCUAUUCUCAUCAUAUCAAUCUCCAUCACUUUUAUAUUGUUUUGCUAUUUACUUUUUACUUUGCAUCUUUAUAUCAAAAAUACCAAAAAUAUUCUAUCUAUCAGAUCUCACUCUCGUAAGUGACCGUGAAGGGCUUGACAACCCCUAAUCGCGUUGGUUGCGAGUAGCUAUCGCUUUGUGCAGGUACGAGGGACUUGAGCGUGGGCUCCUACUGGAUUGAUACCUUGGUUCUCAAAAACCGAGGGAAAUACUUACGCUACUCUGCUGCAUCAUCCCUUCCUCUUCGGGGAAAACCAAUGCAAGCUCAAGACGUAGCAAGAAGGAUUUCUAGCACCGUUGCCGGGGAGUCUAUGCAAAAGUCAACAUACCAAGUACCCAUCACAAUCCCUAUCUCUCGCAUUACAUUAUUUGCCAUUUGCCUCUCGUUUUCCUCUCCCCCCAAUUCACCCUUGCCGUUUUAUUUGCCCUCUCUCUCUAUCCUCCCUCUCUAUUUGCCUCUUUUUGUCCGCUUGCUUUUUGUUUGCUCGUGUGUUAGAUUGCUUGUUUGUCACGAUUGCUCAACCAAGAUUUGGUGAUCUUCACCUUAAAAGGUUAGAGGAUAUCGAAAACAACGUUAGGAAGUUUAUGGUUUUGCAAUUUGAGCAUAAUAAUUUCUUUAGAAACGAACUUAAAGAACAAAAAAGUUUUAUGAGUUAUAUGAAUAAAGAGCUUGAUGAUAUGUCUAAAGAAUUUGAGGGUAUAAGAUCCCAGACUGCUCGUCUAGAGAAGAUGACUGCUGAAAUUUCGGAUAUGCAAGCCAUCUUAGUCAAUAAGAUGGCCGCUAAACCGAAUACCUAUGAAAAUCAAGAUGAAGAUCUAAAAGUUAUUGAUGUGUCUCCUAUUACAUCUUUAUUUUGCAAUAUGAAUCUUGAUGAAACUGAAUAUGAUCUUCCUUUACCUAGAAGGUGUUCUAAAAAUUCGGAGUGUUUAGAUCUUAAUGAUGAAAUUGAUGAAAGUGGGAUGGAAAGAAAUAAAAAUCUAAAUGUUGCUAAACCCACUAUAUUGGAUUUCAAGGAAUUUAAUUAUGAAAAUUGCUCUUUGAUUGAUUGUAUUUCCUUGUUGCAAUCCGUGCUAAAUUCUCCACAUGCUUAUAGUCGAAAUAAAGCCUUCACCGAACAUAUUGUUGAUGCCUUGAUGCAAUCUUAUGAAGAAAAACUUGAGUUGAAAGUUUCUAUCCCUAGAAAACUCUAUGAUGAGUGGGAACCAAAUAUUAAAAUUAAAAUUAAAGAUCAUGAGUUUUAUGCUUUGUGUGAUUUGGGUGCUAGUGUCUCUACUAUUCCCAAGACUUUGUGUGAUUUACUAGAUUUCCGUAAUUUUGAUGAUUGCUCUCUAAACUUGCAUCUUGCGGAUUCCACUAUUAAGAAACCUAUGGGAAGAAUUAAUGAUGUUAUUAUUGUUGCAAAUAGGAAUUAUGUGCCCGUAGAUUUCAUUGUUCUCGAUAUAGAUUGCAAUCCUUCUUGCCCUAUUAUUCUUGGUAGACCUUUCCUUAGAACGGUUAGUGCGAUUAUUGAUAUGAAGGAAGGGAAUAUUAGAUUUCAACUUCCAUUAAAAAAGGGCAUGGAACACUUUCCUAGAAAGAAAAUAAAAUUACCAUAUGAAACUUGAAGGAAAUAUGCCCUAGAGGCAAUAAUAAAGUUAUUAUUUAUUUCCUUAUAAUCAUAAUAAAUGUUUAUUAUUCAUGCUAGAAUUGUAUUUACCGGAAACAUAAUACAUGUGUGAAUACAUAGACAAACAAAGUGUCACUAGUAUGCCUCUACUUGACUAGCUCGUUAAUCAAAGAUGGUUAUGUUUCCUAACCAUGAACAAUAAGUUGUUAUUUGAUUAACGAGGUCACAUCAUUAGUAGAAUAAUCUGAUUGACAUGACCCAUUCCAUUAGCUUAGCACACGAUCGUUUAGUAUGUUGCUAUUGCUUUCUUCAUGACUUAUACAUGUUCCUAUAACUAUGAGAUUAUGCAAUUCCCGUUUACCGGAGGAACACUUUUGGUACUACCAAACGUCACAACAUAACUGGGUGAUUAUAAAGGAGUACUACAGGUGUCUCCAAUGGUCGAUGUUGGGUUGGCGUAUUUCGAGAUUAGGAUUUGUCACUCCGAUUGUCGGAGAGGUAUCUCUGGGCCCUCUCGGUAAUACACAUCAUAUAAGCCUUGCAAGCAUUACAACUAAUAUGUUAGUUGUGAGAUGAUGUAUUACGAAACGAGUAAAGAGACUUGCCGGUAACGAGAUUGAACUAGGUAUUGGAUACCGACGAUCGAAUCUCGGGCAAGUAACAUACCGAUGACAAAGGGAACAACGUAUGUUGUUAUGCGGUCUGACCGAUAAAGAUCUUCGUAGAAUAUGUAGGAGCCAAUAUGGGCAUCCAGGUCCCGCUAUUGGUUAUUGACCGAAGACGUGUCUCGGUCAUGUCUACAUUGUUCUCGAACCCGUAGGGUCCGCACGCUUAAGGUUACGAUGGCAGUUAUAUUAUGAGUUUAUGCAUUUUGAUGUACCGAAGGUUGUUCGGAGUCCCGGAUGUGAUCACGGACAUGACGAGGAGUCUCGAAAUGGUCGAGACGUAAAGAUUGAUAUAUUGGAAGCCUAUAUUUGGAUAUCGGAAGUGUUCCGGGUGAAAUCGGGAUUUUACCGGAAUACCGAGAGGGUUACCGGAACCCCCCCGGGAGCUAUUUGGGCCAUAGUGGGCCUUAGUGGAAAAGAGAAGGGGCUGCCCUAGAUGGGCAGCGCGCCCCCCCUUCCCCUAGUCCUAUUAGGACUAGGAGAGGUGGCCGGCCCCCUCCUCCUCUUUUCCCCUCCGAGGAAUCCUAGUUGGACUAGGAUUGGAGGGGGAAUCCUACUCCCAGAGGGAGUAGGACUCUCCUGCGCCUCCCCCCCUUGGCCGGCCAGCCUCCCCUCCUCUCCUCCUUUAUAUACGGAGGCAGGGGCACCUGUAAACACACAAGUUGACACAAGUUGAUCCACGUGAUCUAUUCCUUAGCCGUGUGCGGUGCCCCCUGCCACCAUAUUCCUCGAUAAUACUGUAGCGGAGUUUAGGCGAAGCCCUGCUGCUGUAGUUCAUCAAGAUCGUCACCACGCCGUCGUGCUGAUGAAACUCUUCCCCGACACUUUGCUGGAUCGGAGUCCGGGGAUCGUCAUGAGCUGAAUGUGUGCACGAACUCGGAGGUGCCGUAGUUUUGGUGCUUGAUCGGUUGGAUCGAGAAGACGUACGACUACUUCCUCUACGUUGUGUCAUCGCUUCCGCAGUCGGUCUGCGUUGGGUACGUAGACAAUACUCUCCCCUCAUUGCUAUGCAUCACAUGAUCUUGCGUGUGCGUAGGAAAAAUUUUGAAAUUACUACGAAACCCAACAAAACUAUCAUGAGAGCCACUUAUGGAUUGCCUACCAAAGAUGGCAAUACCUAGAUCUAUUCUUGCUUGUUAUGCCUAGCUAGGAGCAUUAAACGAUAGCGCUUGUUGGGAGGCAACCCAAUUUUAUUUUUGUUCCUUGCUUUUUGAUCCUGUCUAGUAAUAAAUAAAUUAUUUAGCUUCUGUUUUGGUUGUGUUUUUUGUGUUUAAUUAGCAUUUGUGCCAAGUAGAACCGUUGGGAAGACUUGGGGAAAGUCUUGUUGAACUUGCUGUAAAAAACAGAAACUUUAGCGCUCACGAGAACUGCUGUCAUUUUUAUUUGAAGAGUGCUAUUUAGUUAAUUAUUUUUGAAGAUGAUUAAUAGAUAAAUUCCUCACGUCCAGCAAUUUAUUUUAGAAUUUUUGGGGUUCCAGAUCUUGCGCUAGCUACAGACUACUACAGACUGUUCUGUUUUUGACAGAUUCUGUUUUUCAUGUGUUGUUUGCUUAUUUUGAUGAAUCUAUCGCUAGUAAAAUAGUUUAUAAUCCAUAGCGAAGUUGGAAUACAGUAGUUUUAACACCAAUAUAAAUAAAGAAUGAGUUCAUUACAGUACCUUGAAGUGGUCUUUUGUUUUCUUUCGCUAACGGAGCUCAUGAGUUUUCUAUCUUGAGUUUUGUGUUGUGAAGUUUUCAAGUUUUGGGUGAAUUCUUUUGAUGGAUCAUGGAACAAGGAGUGGAAAGAUCCUAAGCUUGGGGAUGCCCAUGGCACCCCCAAGAUAAUCCAAGGACACCAAAAAGAAGCUUGGGGAUGCCCCGGAAGGCAUCCUCUCUUUUUCGUCCACUUCCAUCGGUAAUUUACUUGGAGCUAUAUUUUUAUUCACCAACAUGAUAUGUGUUUUGCUCGGAGCGUAUUGUAUUAUUUGUGUCUUUGUUUGUUAGUAUGCCACAAUCAUCCUUGCUGUACACACCUUUUGAGAGAGCCAUACAUGAAUUAAAAUUUGAUAGAAUACUCUAUGUGCUUCACUUAUAUCUUUUGAGCUAGAUAAUUUUGCUCUAUGUGCUUCACUUAUAUCCUUUGAGCUAGAUAAUUUUACUCUAUGUGCUUCACUUAUAUCCUUUGAGCUAGAUAGUUUUGCUCUAUGUGCUUCACUUAUAUCUUUUGAGCUAGAUAAUUUUGCUCUAUGUGCUUCACUUAGAUCUUUUAGAGCACGGUGGUGGAUUCGUUUUAAAGAAACUAUUGAUCUCUCAUGCUUCACUUAAAUUAAUUUGAGAGUCUCUUAAUAGCAUGGUAAUUUGCCUAAUAAUAAUAUGCUUGGUAUUCAAGAUUUGUGAAACUUUCUUUUGAGUGUGUUGAAUACUAAGAAAAGAUUGAAGCAUGAUAAUUGUUUUGAGAUAUGGAGGUGAUAAUAUUAAAGUCAUGCUAGUUGAGUAGUUGUGAAUUUAAAGAAUACUUGUGUUGAAGUUUGUGAUUCCCGUAGCAUGCACGUAUGGUGAACCGUUAUGUGAUGAAGUCGGAGCACGAUUUAUUUAUUGAUUGUCUUCCUUAUAAGUGGCGGUCGGGGACGAGCGAUGAUCUUUUCCUACCAAUCUAUCCUCCUAGGAGCAUGCGAGUAAUACUUUGCUUUGAUAACUUCUAAUUUUUGCAAUAAGUAUAUGAGUUCUUUAUGACUAAUGUUGAGUCCAUGGAUUAUACGCACUCUCACCCUUCCACCCUUGCUAGCCUCUCUAAUACCGCGCACCUUUCGCCGGUAUCAUACACCUACCAUAUACCUUCCUCAAAACAGCCACCAUACCUACCUAUUAUGGCAUUUCCAUAGCCAUUCCGAGAUAUAUUGCCAUGCAACUUUCCACCAUCUAGUUCAUCAUGACACAUCCAUCAUUGUCAUAUUGCUUAGGAUGAUCAUGUAGUUGACAUAGUAUUUGUGGCAAAGCCACUGUUCAUAAUUCUUUCGUACUUGUCACUCUUGAUUCAUUGCAUACCCCGGUACGCCGCCGAAGGCAUUCAUAUAGAGUCAUACUUUGUUUUAGUAUCGAGUUGUAAUCAUUGAGUUGUAAAAAAAUAGAAGUGUGAUGAUCAUCAUUCAAUAGAGCAUUGUCCCAAAAAAAAGAGAAAGGCCAAAAAAAGAAGGCCCAAAAAAAUAUAUAAAUAAAUAAAAAAGGGGCAAUGUUACUAUCCUUUUUUUCCAAACUUGUGCUUCAAAGUAGUACCAUGAUAUAGCAAGUCUCAUAUAUUAUGCUUCAAAGUAGCACCAUGUUCUUCAUAUAGAGAGUCUCAUAUAUUGUCACUUUCAUAUACUAGUGGGAAUUUUACGUUAUAGAACUUGGCUUGUAUAUUCCAAUGAUGGGCUUCCUCAAAUUGCCCUAGGUCUUCGUGAGCAAGAAAGUUGGAUGCACGCCCACUAGUUUCUUUUGUUGGGCUUUCAUACAUUUAUAGCUCUAGUGCAUCCGUUGCAUGGCAAUCCCUACUCACUCACAUUGAUAUCUAUUGAUGGGCAUCUCCAUAGCCCGUUGAUACGCCUAGUUGAUGUGAGACUAUCUUCUCCUUUUUGUCUUCUCCACAACCACCAUUCUAUUCCACCUAUAGUUCUAUAUCCAUGGCUCACACUCAUGUAUUGCGUGAAGAUUGAAAAAGUUUUGAAAAAGUUAGACUAUGAAACAAUUGCUUGGCUUGUCAUCGGGGUUGUGCAUGAUUUAAAUACUUUGUGUGGGUAAGAUGGAGCAUAGCCAGACUAUAUGAUUUUGUAGGGAUAACCUUCUUUGGCCAUGUUAUUUUGAGAAGGUCAUGAGGAUAAGGAGUAAAAGAGCCUUACGUUCCCUUCCACAAUCAAUUCCCUUACAUAACUAAAGCAUUUCUAGACUCGACUUCGAUCGGUUUGUCUUGGUAAUCCUACAGGCAGUCAGACUCUGAUACCAAAGCUGUCAGGACCCCGAUUCUAAGUCACACCGAUCUAGCCUGUAACACCUCAUAUCACUUUGCGGCCUCACGCACGGUAUUCCCACGGGUGUUGCCUUACCAUGGCCCGGGACCAUUUGCGCCUUUUGGCUCACGUAUAUGAUAGUGUCGCUAGCAUCCAUAUGACAGAGAAUCCGGGCCAACAUGACUAGUCGUGAACCCAAAGUGGCACUAACUUACGGGGACAUGCAUACAUGAAUCAACAUCGAGCAUGUCGGUCAGCAGCGUGCGAAUCCGGGCUGUAGCACUGGGCUAACAGAACUUCGGUGAACCAGGCUAUAGCAGGCUAGGCAGGAUUCCGGAUGUCACCGCGUGACAUUUCCCCGAAGGGACAGACACAUGAACGAAGUGAAUCACAUGCCGGCCAGUCAAGCGUUCCGGAGCAGUAGUGCCGGGCUAGCAGGAUGAUACGUCUCCAACGUAUCUAUAAUUUUUGAUUUCUCCAUGCUAUAUUAUCCACUGUUUUGGACUAUAUUGGGCUUUAUUUUCCACUUUUAUAUUAUUUUUGGGACUAACCUAUUAACCGGAGGCCCAGCCCAGAAUUGUUGUUUUUUUGCCUAUUUUCAGUGUUUCGGAUAAACGGAAUAUCAAACGGAGUCCAAACGGAAUAAAAUCUUCGUAAACGUGAUUUUCUCACCGAACGUGAUCCAGGAGACUUGGACCCUACUACAAGGGAUCAAAGAGGUGGUCACGAGGGUGGGGGUGCCCCUCCUAGGGCGCGCCCCUUGCCUCGUGGGCCCCUCGGUGCUCCACCGACGUACUCCUUCCUCCUAUAUAUACACACGUACCCCCAAACAAUCAGAACAUGAGCCAAAAACCUAAUUCCACCGCCGCAACUUCCUUUAUCCACGAGAUCCCAUCUUGGGGCCUGUUCCGGAGCUCCGCCGGAAGAGGGCCGUCAUCACGGAGGGCUUCUACAUCAUCAUAGCCCCUCCGAUGAAGUGUGAGUAGUUUACCUCAGACCUUCGGGUCCAUAGUUAGUAGCUAGAUGGCUUCUUCUCUCUCUUUGAAUCUCAAUACAAAGUUCUCCCCCUCUCUUGUGGAGAUCUAUUCGAUGUAAUCUUCUUUUUGCGGUGUGUUUGUUGAGAUCGAUGAAUUGUGGGUUUAUGAUCAAGUCUAUCUAUGAAUAAUAUUUGAAUCUUAUCUGAAUUCUUUUAUGCAUGAUUGGUUAUCUUUGCAAGUCUCUUCGAAUUAUCCGUUUGGUUUGGCCAACUAGAUUGGUAGUUCUUGCCAUGGGAGAAGUGCUUAGCUUUGGGUUCGAUCUUGCGGUGUCCUUACCCAGUGACAGAAGGGGCAGCAAGGCACGUAUUGUAUCGUUGCCAUCGAGGAUAACAAGAUGGGGUUUAUUUCAUAUUGCAUGAAUUUAUCUCUCUACAUCAUGUCAUCUUGCUUAAGGCGUUACUCUGUUUUUAACUUAAUACUCUAGAUGCAUGUUGGAUAGCGGUCGAUGAGUGGAGUAAUAGUAGUAGAUGCAUAAUCGUUUCGAUCUACUUGUCACGGACGUGAUGCCUAUAUACAUGAUCAUGCCUAGAUAUUCUCACAAUUAUGCACAAUUCUAUCAAUUGCUCAACAGUAAUUUGUUCACCCACCGUAGAAUACUUAUGCUCUUGAGAGAAGUCACUAGUGAAACCUAUGGCCCCCAGGUCUAUUCUCAUCAUAUCAAUCUCCAUCACUUUUAUAUUGUUUUGUUAUUUACUUUGCCUUUACUUUUUACUUUGCAUCUUUAUAUCAAAUAUACCAAAAAUAUUCUAUCUAUCAGAUCUCACUCGCGUAAGUGACCGUGAAGGGCUUGACAACCCCUAAUCGCGUUGGUUGCGAGUAGCUAUUGCUUUGUGCAGGUACGAGGGACUUGAGCGUGGGCUCCUACUGGAUUGAUACCUUGGUUCUCAAAAACUGAGGGAAAUACUUACGCUACUCUGCUGCAUCAUCCCUUCCUCUUCGGGGAAAACCAAUGCAAGCUCAAGACAUAGCACAGGACUCCGGUGAACCGGGCUGUAGCGGACUACUAUGGCUUAUGGAAGCACAAGACUACAUUUCUCCAUAAGAGCGGCUACCAAGGAUAAACAACUAGGUUGUCGGAUCCCACACAUACCAAGCAUUUCAAUCAUACACACAAUAUGCUCGAUAUGUGUGAAUACAACAUGGCAUCACAACAUAACUCUACGACUCAAGUAUUUAUUCAUUAGGCUUCGAAGAGCCAGAUAUUACAGACAUGGGUCUCAUGACCCAACAUUCAGAGCAUACCAGACAAAGCACAUGUGGAAGCUUAACAUGUCUGAGUACAGACUUCUACAAAUGAAAAAGGCUAAGAAGCCUGACUAUCUACAAGACCCUGCCAAGGGCACAAGAUCGUAGCUGAGGUAACAAGCUAAACGUUGAAGUCCAUGUGGAACUACUAGCGAGACUGACGUCUCUCUGCAAAAACAUAAAAUAGGCAAAUGUGAGUACAAAUGUACCUAGCAAGACGUACAUCAGAACUGACUACAUAUGCAUCAGUAUCAACAAAGGGGGGUAGUGGGGUUUAACUGCAGCAAGCCAGCUUUGACUCAGUGGAUAACCUGAACUACGACCUCAAGCAACUCUUUUGAGGUGGCGCACAGAGUCACAUAUUCACCAUACCAAUACACCACUAUGGAUCCGCUCCCGUCUCCCUGCGAGAACGCCAUCCAUAGCACUCACACUUAUCUUGCGCAUUUUAGAGUAUCCACUUUCACUUGUCUAUGAACUAUGCAAGGGGUCCAAGUUUCCAUAUCCGAGGAAUCCGGCUAUUCGAAUAGAUAAUGAUAACCCUGCAGGGGUGUACUUCUUCACACACGCUCUCGCCACUUACCACCAUGUACAUAUCGUGUAUCUCGACAACCUUCAAGAGGAAGCCUGGCGAGGGAGUCGGCCACGACCUGACUAACCGACAAGUCUCUAGUCCAUGUUUAUCGCCUAUUCGGGUUCCAUCUGCAAGGAGAUCCGGCCGGGGUGUCGCUCAUGGCCCCAAACGAUGUGACAGUGUUCCCAAGCCCACCAUCCGGGUGCCACUUGGUACACCGUGCCACUGUGCCUAGUCUGUCCUAGGCCCACCUGUACCGGGUGCCACUUGGUAGACUACUAACACUACCUACAAACACCAGAAACUAGUUGCAACUCCUGGACAGAGAUCAGGUUGAUUAAUAAGUCGAGAGGGGCACUUAAGCAUUCCAAUGUGUGGUAGUAACUGUUCAUGGAUCACCAAACACAAAACUCAGUUCCUGAGGAUGGCUGCAAUGAGACAACCCAUCGUGUAUCUCGGCAACCUUCAAGCGGAAUCCUGGCGAGGGAGUCGGCCAUGACCUGACUAACCGACAAGUCUCUAGUCCAGGUUUAUCGCCUAUUCGGGUUCCAUCCGCAAGGAGAUUCGGCCGGGGUGUCGCUCACGGCCCCAAACGAUGUGAGCAGGGUUCCCAAGCCCACCAUCUGGGUGCCACUUGGUACACCGUGCCACUGUGCCUAGUCUGUCCCAAGCCCACCUGUACCGGGUGCCACUUGGUAGACUACUUACACUACCUACAAACACCAGAAACUAGUUGCAACUCCUGGACAGAGAUCAGGUUGAUUAAUAAGUCGAGAGGGGCACUUAAGCAUUCCAAUGUGUGGUAGUAACAGUUCAUGGAUCACCAAACACAGAACUCAGUUCCUGAGGACGGCUGCAAUGAGACAACCCACCAUGUACUCCUACAUGGCCUCUCACCGCUACCUUUACCAAAUCGUGUUCACACACUUAGCUCACACACAGUAGGACAUGUUCAUCACCAUUCCAAUUCAUCCCUGAUGAAUCAGACCUGACUCAACUCUAAGCAGUAGCAGGCAUGACAAACAAACAUGAAUGAUUAGGCACACCAGGGCUCAAACAAUUCCUACUCAUGCUAGUGGGUUUCAUCUAUUUACUGUGGCAAUGACAGGUCAUGCAGGGAAAAAGGGUUCAGCUACCGCAGCAUGUAACCUUUGAAACGUUGUUGUCCUAAUGCAAUAAAAGAGAGCAGGAGCGAGAGAGUGGGAUUGUAUUGGAAUGAACAAGGGGUUUUUGCGUGCCUGGCACUUCUGAAGAUAGUAUAGCUCUUCAUCGGUGUCAUCGAAUUCAUCGCUGGAUCAACGUCCACUAAGGGGGGACAAACACCGGCAACUAAGAAAGAACACAAUCAACACAUGACGAUAUGCAACAAUAUGAUGCAUGCUAUGACAUGGCAAUAUGAAUGUGUUUUUGGCUAAUGCAAGCUAGAACAUAUUGAAAUGAGUCCAUUUGAACCAAAGAUUCAAAUGCAAACCCAUUUUAUGAAGUCAUAUUAGUGCAUUAACUUGUUUCACCUAAAGAGCAAGGUUAAAGUGUUCUAACAUGCAUGAAACUAGUAUAGAUGAAAAGAUUGGAUUUUUCUGAUCAUUUUUCAUAUAUAAAUUAUUUCAUUCUGAGCUAUGGUUGAAUCUCUAUGAUUUUUAGAAGUUUGGGGUAUUUUCUGAAAUUUAUAAAUCAUUUCUGAUUUAUUUUAAUUCCAGAAAACUUUACUGUGUCAUCAUUAAGUCAUGCUGGCGUCAGCUGGUCAACAGGAGGUCCAGGUCAAACCUGACAGGUGUGGCCCACCUGUCAUUGACUCAGUGCUAACCAGGGUUUAGUUAAAUCCUAACUAAAGUAAUUAGAAGGGCUGGGGCCCACAGUCAGCGAGUUUGUGGGUUAGCUAAAAUUUAAUUAGCAUCUAAACUAAAUUAGCAGGGCCUCGGGCCCACAUGUUAAUGACACAGGGGGGUCAAACCCUGGUCAACUCGGGUCAAACUCGCCGGAGUUGACCCGGCGCUCGUCGCCAGCAAGGCCAGAGACGGCGGAGGGGCUCGGGAUUCCUCCUCCGGCGACCAAAUGGCCGGCGGAGGGCACCUACGCGGAGCUGGGACUCGCCUGCAUCCAUCUGUGCAAACGGCAGGGGCUGAGAUGGCCCGAGCUCGCCGGAGGCAAGCUCGCGGCGGUGGCCGGAGUUCGGGUGUGGACGGGGUCGACGCUAUGGGGCACUAGGGGGAUAAACUGGCAGGUGCUACGCGCUCCUGGGGGUUCACCGAGCAUGGUGACGUGCCUAGGCGCGGGCUGCGGUGGCCCUGGCCACGGCGGUCAAGAACCAUGGCGGCGGUGAGCUUUCGGCUCCGGUGGACAGCGGGGCUAGAGGAGGAGAACGACGGCGGGGAGAGAGGGGUUCGAUAGAGGAGCUCACGGCAGGGUCGUCGGUGAUCUCAGCGUGCUCGGGGAUGGCCUGGUGGCGACGAAUCGGUCGACGACGGCCGUCGGUGCAGAGGGCGAAGAUGGCAUCGACGAUGGCGCUCCAGGGUGUCCGGCGUCAUGUGGCUCGGUGGAGAGGACCGGGGCGUCACGGCGGAGCUCGGGGGCACGUCAGAGAGGCUCGGAGAUGGCUGUGGCCGUGGGGGAGCUCGUCGGCGGCGACGGCUGCGUUCGGUCGCGCUCGUGGAAGGAACUAGAGGGAAAAGGAGAGAGCAGAGAGUGAGGGAGAGGAGCGAGCGGAUUUCAGGGGGUGCGUGGCGUCGUAUGGAGUCGUCGAGGGCGUCGGCAGAAGUAGGAGGUGGCCGGCGUGCGACGGGCACACGCCCUCUGCCUACUGGCAGAGGUGGAAGAAGACCUCGGCGCCCCUGGUGGGCUGGGCCGAUUCUCUCCUGGGCCAGGUUAGCAGGUAAGAUUCUGCUCUAUUUUAUUUUUCUGUUCUGUUUUCUUUUCUAUUUUUGCUAUUAUGUUUUGAUUUCGUUCAAAGACCAAACCAUUUUCAAAAUGCAUGAAAAUAAUUGUGUGAACUAAAUGGACUUCUCCAAAGCUACACAACAAUUUUCAGAAUUAUUGAACAUAUAUUUAUUAUAUAAUAAAUAUAAAUCCAAUUCAAAUAUUUAUUGAAUUAAUUUCAAAUGCCCAAAAUAAAUAUUUUUGAACUCUAAAAAUAUUGGUUUGAAUUUUACCUCUUGCCAAUAUUUUUAUGAAUAACAGGAAUAUUUCCUUGGACUCAUUUGAAAAGACUUUUAACGUUGAUUAUUUCUGAAGUUAUUUUUGAGGGUUUCAACUAACCUCAAUUCAACUUUCAAAAUUUAGACAUGAUGCAUGGAUGCUCUCUUAUGCAACUAUUGCAAACAAUUCUAGGGCUGUGACACUCUCCCAUAUUGAUUGGUGGUCCAACUUGACUUUGAUGGCAAAAGGAAGAGUAGAACCAUCGAAUUCAAAAAAUGUUCAUGAUUUUAGAGAAUGUUUGAAAAUCUGUAAAAAUGUUCAUGAAUUUGAAAAAUGUUCACGGUUUCAGAUAUGUUCACGAGUUAAAAAAUCAUGGUUUUCAAAAAUUGUUCAUGAUUUCACGAAAAUGAGAGUGAUAGUGUAUCUUGGUGAUGCAGAAAAAUGUGGUCAUGGCCAUUGAACAUUAUGAUUUUUAUUCUUCCGUCGCAAUGCAUGGGCCGUUUUGCUAUAACUACGAAAGAAGGACAAAUUUGGAGUGUCGGAUUUUCAUUACAUCGAUGACGAAGGAAUGGUCUGGAGUCUUAACAAAUUAUAGAAACAAAGCGUCUCCCACUAGGUGUCAUUAGCGAAUUGAGGUAUUUAUGUAGCUCAUACGCACUAUACCUGUAAGUUAAGUUUGCGUUGUGUGAUGUGUGUAUGUAGUAGUCAAGUAGGAAAUGGUGUGGAAGCAGGUAUUUAGUCGCAAAAUGACGUACUUUUGGCGCCAUCAAGUUAACUCUCUAUUUAGUCGCAAAUGCAGCACUAUACCUGUUAUAUGGUGUAUUUUUUUUUGAUAAUCUGUUAUGGUGUAUUCUGUAUGUGUACUCUGGUAAUGUUAAUGAAGCUCUGUUUUUUAGUUCAUCUUGUCUAUAAGGCUGCGCUUGGAUUGCCGUUUUCCAGCCAUCUACACGUGUAAAGUAUACCCCCGUAAAAAUAAAACGGACGAUCUACUUGGAUCGUCGUUUUUGCGUCGUAACUUUUACACCCGGUUUCACUUUACACUUGGAUAUCGCUGGUAUUCCGUCGGUUUGCAAAACACUGCUAUGUCCGUCGUUUUUCCUAGUUGCUGGUAUUCCGCCGUUCUUGCUCGGUUGUGAUUGACUAGGUAGCCACAGCUGAGGUAAGCGCCGCAACGGCUCAACCGGAGCACGCCGAGGCCACCGCCACCGCUCGCCGGAGCGCCGCCGUCGUUCCGGAGACACCAUCGUCACCAGCAGUCGCCUCCCGCAGUCCUGCCGCAUCAGCUCCACCACCACGGCCCGCCAUUGACGCCGAGCGUCCGCAGCCACCACCAUGGGUGCUUGCGCGCCGCCGAGCUUCGAGUCGACGGCGCCGCAGCGUCCGCGCCACUGCCGGAGCGCGUGCGCUCGCCGCCACUGCAACCAAACGCCAAUGCAGCACCCAACGUCCGCCUCCACCACCACCGGUCCAUGACGUCCCCGCUGCCGCCGGAUUGCCUUCGCCACUGCAGCAGGAUCCUGCGUCCGCCGUGGCCGCGCUGUGACGACGCCUGGCGCUCGUUCUUCUGGUAGCCAACGGCAUAGCGCACGGGAGAGACUCUCCGAAACUAGCAAAAAUCCGACGAACCAAGCGCAGCAUAUACAUGUGGGAAUAUCCGGUUGUAUUUUACAAAUCUCCUGUAAUAUACAGGGGUAUUCAUAUACGGAUGUAAAACUUCUACGGGGAUUCCAAGCGGGGCCUAAG